CCUCCAUCCACCCUAUUUUAGCAUGCCCACAAAUUAAACUACAGAUUAACAAAGAGAGAGAGAAAUAAUCCUGUAAUAUUCUAGAAACUGAUCUUCACUCAAUCUCUACCCAUACUGCUCACCCUAACCUUGAUUCCAUCGGUCUCCCUACCAUUGAUUCCAUCGGUCUAGGCCCACUAGAAAGCCCCUCUGUCUCGCUCCACCCUUGUCCACUUUUCUUUUCCCUCCUCCUCAGCCCAGAACACCGAGAGAGUGAGAGAGAGAGAGGGAAGAAGGGACACCGCAGAGCGGCAGAGCGCCGACGACGCGUGGGCAUGAGGUGUCUUCGACCGAGCGCUUCACCUUGCUGUAACAUCCCGGCCUAGGGCUUAAUAGAAUUAAUAGAAUACUCAUAUCAACAAGUUGCAACUUCUUUUCCGGAAGCUAAUCUCCAAAGAACUCCGGGGUUAAGUGUGCUUGGCCUGGAGCAAUUUGGGAUGGGUGACCGACCGGGAAAUUCUUUCCGGGUGCACACGAGUGAGGACAAGUGUGCAGAAAAGACAUGUGUUGGUCUGUGAGGGCAGUCUAUAACCUAUGAAAGCUAUCAGAUGUAAGCGGGCCUGGCCUGGGGGAAGGCGGGACGUGACACUUGCCCUCUACCACCUCCAGCUUGGUCGCCUCACCUCAUUCAUCACCUCGGCAUCCUCUUCAAAAUGCCCCAAUAAGCGCCAAGGUUGGUAGAGCAAGCUAGGAGAUCAAUUCCAUUUUCCCCAACUCUAGCCGCCGAGCACCACCGAGAUCAAUUCCAUUUUCCCCAACUCUAGCCGCCGAGCACCACCGCCAAAUCCUCCUUCUCCGGUGAGUCACCAUGUGAUUCCGUGCAGGUGUCAUCCCUAGAACCUCAGUAGCUUCACGUGCCCAUCCUUUUCAUAGUUGGGAAGCCGGAUGAAGCCAUUAUCAUCGUCUGGCCUAUUCGGCUGCCGCCGGGCCAUUACACACAUUGUCACCACCAUCAGAGCCCCGCCAGACCUCGUGCACCUAAACCGAGCCCUAGCACCACAUGCACCGUGACCCCGAUCAUGGGGAGGAGGCAGCGAUGGUGAUGGGGAAGUGGUUUCGCGGCGGCGAUGGAAGCGAGAAGGUCGGCAGGCGGCGCUGGAUGCGUUCUGGUUUCUGGGAUGUGGUGGAUGUAUUUUUUUCUCUUUUUUUUAUUCACGUGCUCACUGAUUCUUGUACUCCCUCCGUAUCACAAUUAGAAGAUGUUUUGCGUGGCCGUCGUACUUUCACGUUUAGAUGAUGUUCCUAGCCACACGUACAAAAGCCGACGAAAUUGCCCCUGCCUCCUCGAUCUCAACCCCACGCCGGCGCUGUAUUAACUUCGCACUCUUCGGUUCCACCACGCGCUUUUCCCUCGCUCAUCCUUCUUAUUCACCACAAACGCCACCGCCCAGAAACACCGCUGCCCCAGAAACACCGUCGCAGAGGAGGAGCUCGCGCCGGACUCCAUGGACGCGCCAGAGUCGGAGCUCGUGCCAGACUCCUUCACGCUGGAGUUGCAGGAGCUCGCGCCGGACUCCAUGGACGCGCCGGAGUCGGAGCUCGUGCUGGACUCCUUCACGCCAGAUUUGCAGGAGCUCGCGCCAGAUUCCGUGGAAGCGCCGGAGUCAGAGCUCGUGCCGGACUCCUUUGCACCGGAGUUGCAGGAGCUCGCACCGGAAUCGGAGAGUAGCCUUGGCUUCAUCUAGCAAAGAUGGUUCGCAAGGGAGAGAAGUUGGCAGCCGAUCUUCUCUUUCUAAUGUUUCUUUUUGCAUGUGUGGAAUCUUAAAAUUGUUGCUUCCUUUCACCUUCAUAGCUUCCAUCAAAACACUUUGUAGUGUUACAAACAUUCGGUUUGCUUUGUGUGCCGAAUACUCCAUGAAUGCCUACAAAAUAAGUGUGCAAGAAAUGAGUCAAUGAGCAAAUUUGUUGUUGAAGAAUCAGUGUACCUUGUGUGAACAAUUUGAUCAAAUUACCUCUUCCACUGUUGGAACUAGAGCUUCUAUUGUUUUUGCAUUCUUAUUGUAUUGAAUUGCUUGAAUAGCUCGAAAAAAAUCCAAGUCAAGAAUGUUGAAAUCCGGAGAAUUUGGUGUUUGGCAAAUUAGGCGAAUAUCAAAUCCUUCUUGCUUAGCAUGCUCACAGAAAUCCGAAUCAUCCAAGUUUAGAUGGGAAGGUGCAUUAUCCUGUUGAAUGAAGAUUGGUUUGCCCACAUCUUCUUUUGGCCAUUUGGCUCGAAUAGCGGGCAAGACUUUGUUGAUCAUGAAAUCUCUAAUCACUUCUCUGGUGAUCGAAGUUAUGGGCUUCAAAACCAAGUCUCCACGGACACGGCCGGUUCUCACAUUGCCUCUCAUAGCCGGUUGAUAAGUAACAAGUGGAAAACAACUAAUCCUACCAUCAAAAAUGCAAUUCCCAUCCCUAAACCUUGGCCGAGCACAAACACACAAGAACAUGAGCCUAGGGAUGUAAUUCUUGUUCUUACAAGUCCGAUGGGGAUCAUCUUGUUCAGGUAGCAAAUAAUAUUUUUCAGAUUUUUGAGAGAGGUAGAACCAUUUUUCAUCAAUGAGCACAAAGUCAAAAAAAUCCUUAAACCUUGGACCACCAUGCAAAUCCCUCUUAAUCAUGUCAACACACCACUUCAACCUAGACUUUUUAUUAGCUUCAGUGAGAUAUGGUUUGAUGCUACUAGAGUGGCGCCUAAGGAAACCUUUUCUCAAAUACCUUUGAAUCUUUGAUUUGCUCAUGUUAAGUUUGGCAGACACAUCCUCUAUGGUCGUUCUCUCUUUUAGAGGAAUGCUGCGCAAUGCUUCUAAAUCAACAGGGAUUUUCUUACGACCAACUCUACCCUUCUUUAGACUAGAAACCACAACAGGAAUAGAGUUUGCAAGUUGUAUUUUACCUCGCUUCCAUAAACGUUGAACUGACUGAAUUCCUAAACCAAAUUGAGCAGCAACAAUGCUCGUAUCUUUUUUGCCUAGUUUCCCAUUCUUGCUUCUUGCCAACAAAGUUCGGAAAACUAGUUUUCCGAGUUCAUCUGACAUCUCUUUCCUUCAGUGGUUCACUUGAACCGGAGGCUCAACAGCAUGUUCUAAAUGGAAAAAAAAACACUACCGUGCAUGUGUGUUCGGAUGUGGACUUCUCCUUUUCUCAAUCUUUCGUCUGCUGCGUCAACUGUGGACCGGUUGAACGCGAAAACUCUGGUGGAUUCUACCAUUGACAAGGACUUCACAUAUGGUUACUUCAUAUCCAAUGGCACCAGUUUUAUUCCUUCUCUAUCCAACGGUCCCAAAUUUCCUGGUGACGUGGCACAAUGUGGUAGUGAAAAACUUUACUUUUUUCACUACUUUAGAUAAGGGCAAAAACAAAAACCCUAAAAAACAUGGCAAAAUCAAUAUUAAACAUCGAUGUAGGGGUAAGAACGAAAUUGCCCCCAAUUAAUUUUGGCUUGGUAUUUCUCCCGUAUAGUGUGAGCGCUCCCAAUAGCAAAUACAUGCGUGACAAUUUUUACAAUAUAUGCAGUACAAACUCAACUUGGGUGGAACUUCUCUAACCGCUUCUGUACCGCCGGUCUGACCGGUGUCCGGUCUAACCUAAGUUUGACUGCUUCUGUACCGCCGGUCUGACCGGUGUCCGGUUUGACUGGAGUCUUACCGCUUCUGUACCGCUGGUCUGACCGGUGUCCGGUCUGACCGCCAAUUAGUAGCGGUCGGACCGGCAGUACCUCGGCGGUCGGACCGGCAGUACCUCGGCGGUCAGACCGGCUUCAGACAUAUUUUUUUUCUAAAAAUUCUCAAAUUAUUUUUGCACUCGGAUAUAUGCCUAUUCGAUCUACUUGUCGUGUCUUAGUACUGGAUUCCUAAAUUUUUAUUAUCUAACCCCAGUAUUGAGGCUUCGACUUUUGCUUGUGUGUAGGCUUUGGUGGCAAGGAAGGGGAGCGUGUGUAUCGUGGAUUCCGGUUGUUCACAGCGCAUGCCCCGUGAUAAAAAUUGGUUCUCCUCCCUCGAACAGGCAUCCAAGACUAGUGCCGUUUUGGCUACAGGUUUGGUCAAGGUAAAUGACAAGUUUGAAUUGAAAAACGUAGCUUUGGUUGAGGUCUUAAAUUAUAAUUUGCUUUCAGUUUCACAAAUUGUUGAUGAAAAUUUUGAGGUUCACUUUAAGAAAACUAGAAGUAAAGUAUUUGAUUCUUGUGGUGAUUCUGUGCUAAAUAUUUCUCGCUAUGGAAGAGUGUUUAAAGCUGAUUUUGAAAAUUCUGUUUCACCUAUGAUAACAUGUUUGGUUGCUAAGUUUGAUAAGGAUGUCAUGUUUUGGCAUCGUAGACCUGGACAUGUUGGUUUUGAUCAUCUCAUGAGGUUAAGUGGUUUGCAUCUUGCUUGUGGUUUGCCUAAACUUAAGAAAGAUCUUGAUUUGGUUUGUACACCGUGUCGUCAUGCUAAGAUGGUUGCUUCUUCACAUGGUCCUAUUGUUUAAAAUCAUGACGGAUGCACNNNNNNNNNNNNNNNNNNNNNNNNNNNNNNNNNNNNNNNNNNNNNNNNNNNNNNNNNNNNNNNNNNNNNNNNNNNNNNNNNNNNNNNNNNNNNNNNNNNNNNNNNNNNNNNNNNNNNNNNNNNNNNNNNNNNNNNNNNNNNNNNNNNNNNNNNNNNNNNNNNNNNNNNNNNNNNNNNNNNNNNNNNNNNNNNNNNNNNNNAUUGGACUGUUGAAUUUCCUGGUUCUUUGAAAAAAAUUCGAAGUGAUAAUGGUGGUGAAUUUGAAAAUGCUUCAUUUGAACAAUUUUGCAAUGAAAGAGGUCUUGAACAUGAAUAUUCUUCUCCUCGUGUUCCACAACAAAAUGGUGUUAUUGAAAGAAAAAAUCGUGUGUUGGUUGAGAUGGCUAGAACGAUGUUGGAUGAGUAUCACACUCCUAGAAAAUUUUGAGCUGAAGCGGUUAACACUACAUGCUAUAUUUCAAAACUUGGAAAAACUUCUUAUGAGCUUCGAUUUGGACGUCAACCCAAAGUUUCAUAUUUGCGUGUUUUUGGUUGCAAAUGCUUUGUCUUGAAACCGUGGAAAUUUGGAUAAGUUUGAGGCACGCUCCACCGAUGGAAUGUUUCUUAGUUACCCCGCACACCCUCGUGGCUAUCGUGUACUUAUUUUGGAAACUAACAAAAUUGUUGAGACUAGUCCUGGUACUAGACCAGAAAUUGCAAGUACAUUGUCACAGGUGCAGGAGUAGGAUGGUCAUAUAUUUGAAGACGAGAGUGACGACGACGACGAGGUCGACUCGGCCGGUUAGACCGGGCGCCAGGCCGAUCAGACCGCCGGCACACCUCCGGUCAGACAGCCUCAGGAUGAGCGGUCAGACUGGCCAGGGUCGUUGGCUUCCCGUUCUGUUCAUGCUGAUCGUGAUGGUCCUCCAGAGGCUACAACUUCGACCAAUACUGGUACAGAACGUGAAACAACUUCAGAAGUCGCUGCUCCUUUGCAUAUUCAACGACGACAUCCGCCGGAACAAAUCACUGGUAAUCUAGGUGAGCGGACUAUAAGAUCUAAGGUAACGACUCAUGAUGUUUCUGCAAAUUCUGCAUUUGUUGCUUCUUUUGAACCAGAGAUGUUACUCAUGCAUUAACUGAUAAAUCGUGGAUUAGCGCCAUGCAUGAAGAACUUGAAAAUUUUGAGAGAAACAAAGUUUGGACUUUAGUUGAACCACCUUCUGGACAUAAUAUUAUUGGAACCAAGUGGGUUUUCAAAAAUAAACAAAAUGAGGAUGGUUUGAUUGUGACAAAUAAAGCUAGACUUGGUUCUCAGUGUUUUACCCAAGUGGAGGGUUGGGAUUGUGGUGAAACUUUUGCUCCUGUUGCUAGAAUUGAGGCAAUUAGACUUUUGUUAGCUUUUGCUAUUUCAAAAGGUUUUAAAUUGUAUCAAAUGGAUGUGAAAAGUGCUUUUCUAAAUGGUUUUAUAUAGGAGGAAGUUUAUGUCAAACAACCACCAGGUUUUGAAAAUCCUGAUUUUCCCAACCAUGUUUUUAAAUUGUCUAAAGCUUUGUAUGGCUUGAAACAAGCAACUAGAGCAUGGUAUGAUAGGCUUAAGAAUUUUGGGCUUGCGAAAGUGUUUUACAAUCGGAACGGUUGACAAAACACUUUUAGUUCUUAAGCAUGUGAUAAUCACUGGUUCGUCAGAUUAUGUGGAUGAUAUCAUCUGUGGUUGUUCAACUUACGCUUUGGUUGUGGAGUUGCUGAGACUAUGCGCAGGGAGUUUAAGAUAAGCAUGAUGAGUGAGUUAUCAUACUUUUUGGGAUUGCAAAUUAAGCAAACACCUCAAGGUACAUUUGUGCAUCAAACGAAGUACAAUGUUAACAUCAAUUGGUUCUACAGCUGUGUUGGAUCCUGAUGAAGAUGGUGAAGCUGUAACUAACAACAUGAUUGAAUCUUUAUCGUAUCUGAUUGCUUCUAGGCCAGACAUACAGUUUGCUGUGUGUUUGUGUGCACGCUUUCAAGCUUCUCCUCAUGCUUCACAUCGUCAAGCGGUUAAGCGAAUAAUGAAGUAUUUGAAUCAUACACUUAAGUUUGGAAUUUAGUAUUCUACUUCAUCUUCUAUAUGCUUGAGUGGAUAUUCCGAUGCUGAUUUUACUAGUUGUAGAAUUGAUAGGAAAAGUACUAGUGGAUCGGAACAUGUCAUUUUCUUGGUACUGUAGGAUCGUAAAGGGCCUUUACAACCCCAAAAGCUAGCCAUUGAGAUGAAGGGCUCCCCCACUUAUAUCUUAGGUCAUUUGCCCUUCCACAUUCAAUAUGGGACUAUUCAACAAUUUCGCCCUUCACACAUUGGUGCCCCUUAGCCCUUCACCACCCCUUCACUGUAUACAGGCCCCACAGGGCCACGGUCCAUCAGAUAUACAGGCCCCGCAGGCACCCACAGUCCAUCGGGCCUUCACACACUGUGUCCAUCGGGCCAGAGAUGUUAAACUAGCCAGGCUCUGAUACCAAUUAUAGGAUCGUAAAGGGCCUUUCCCACCCCAAAAGCUAACCAUUAAGGUGAGGGGCUCCCCCACUUAUAUCUUAGGUCCUUUUCCCUUCUACAACUAAUGUGGACUAUUCAACAAAACUCGUGUAAACCACAACCAAGAUCUUAACUACUUAAAAAAUUAAUAACUUUCCAUUUGUCACUUAAUUUUUCGUCCAUAUACAUGCUAAUUUUUCAUCCAUAUACUCAAUUUUUUUUGUCCUUCGUGCUUGUGUGUCCGCCUUGCUCACGAUCCCCUUCAUCCCCUACGCAACCUUCGUCCGUCUCUCUGUGAGAAACGGAUCGAAUAGAAUACAAGUAUGGACACAUGAACAAAUCAACCCAACUUCCCCAUCCAAAACCCAAUCAUAUGAACAAAUCGGAUCAAAAACAUCUUGAAAAAAUCAAGAAGAAAAUAAAGAGAAAUCGAGUCGGAGAAGAGAUAAAAUCAAGUGCACACUGAUCCUAAAUAAGGGGAAAUCACACUAUCGUCUGGGUUGGAGGCUAACUGGGAGUGGCCUCGCUCGAUCCGCGUCACCAGCACCCAAUCCGGGAUUGAUCCGUGUCACCCCUGUCCGAUCCGAUCCUCUCCAAUGUCCACAGUUUCGCCUGUUCUUCAGAACUCCAACCAAAACCAACGAGCUCCAAGCCACCAGAUCCGGCCACAAGAUAUCGAGGUCAGCUAAAUCUGGAAGGUAUGAAAAUUAAGGAGGCGGGAGAGAGGAGAGCUCGAGGAAAUUACUGAAUCCGAAAGCUAAAGGCAUUGCCGCCGCAAUAAUCUUCCUCCUCUUCUCCUGAUCAUUACCGGCGUCUUCUUCCUCACAGGCUGUACCACCGCCUCCCUGCACAAGCUCCAAGAAUCCCAUGCACCUUCGGCAUUUUCUCCUCCCUCCAGCUGCCAUAUCGGCUGGCCACGAGUCCAAAGUCACCAGGCAAUGAUGAGCAGAUGGAUACAUUAGGGGCGGCGGGCUGAGCGGAAUAUCGGCGGCGAUGAGGGUGAGGAAAGACCGAAAGAGGACGAGGGAGAAAGAACCGCUCACGUGGAUAAAUUAUUGGGGGUGCGAUUAUGUUUCUUUUUUCAUUUUUUCUAUUUUCUAACCACUCACGCGGAUCACGAUCGGAUGGGGGCAGCGAGCUGAGGGGAAUGAGAGCAGCGAGGAAACAACACUUAUUUUUUUCUUUUCUCUAACUGCUUACACAGAUAAUUAUGACAUAUAACAAUUUCAUUCGGUUGAUAUCUGUGUAGAACAUUAGCUUGAUUCAUCGAUUUGUACUUUUCAAAAAUAUCUUUUUUUUUCAUGAUUGCAUGUAUAAGAGUACAUCUAACUGAUUGAUUCAAAUGUUGAUAUAAUAUUUUAUAUGGUAUUGUAGAGAUAACCUCACCUAACUAAAUAAAGAGGAGAGAUCAUACACAAAUCCGCAAAACCAACCAAACAAAAUAUCUUCUGAACCGUCUCUCUUAUGGAAGCAACCAAACAAAAUAUUACAUUAGCCAAACAAAAUAAAUUCAAGCAACAAAACAGAGGAGGAAUGUUUAUCCUCUUAGCCAUGUCAAACUCAGGCUGUAUGAGGGAGAUAAGCUAGACUAAGGAGAUGCGAGCAACCUAACACAUGGGGAGGAUAGGGUAGCUUUGUUGAUGCAUGCCUAUGGUUCUUCAUUUAAGGAUGUUCUGGCCGAGUAUUGUUACACGAACUUAUAUCCUACCCUACUUUAAACAUAUGGAUUUUUUCAAUCGUCACGCUUUAUUUUGUUCAUCGCCUACAUGAACCCCGCUGAAUCGCCCGAUUGAGUCAAUCAUUUCAUUUUUUUUCCAUACGUGUUUAAAUUCAUGCAUUGUGUGAUAUAAAAUGAAAAAUUAAAAAAAAUAAAAAAAGGUAAAGGGAGAUGAGUUUUGUAUUUGCCUUUAGAAAAAUUAAAAAAAAUAAAAAAAGGUAAAGGGAGAUGAGUUUUGUAUUUGCCUUUAGUAUAUUCUUGUGCAUGGUAGCAAUACUUGUUAGAUAAUAUGGAACUAGACUUUGUAUGCAUUUUUUACUUUAUAUGAACUUUUGAUAUUGUUUUUGAUAGUGUAACGUUUCAUAUAGAUAGAGUAGAAAAUUACAAGUCUAUAUUCCUGGAGGGCUAUAGCCCAAAGGGAAAUAAAAACAACCAUGCCACACAUCUACAACCAAAUCCUGCAUGCUUCGUAUAUUCUCGAAAAUACUUUAUGCUUGAGCAAUAUUAUUAAGAAUGGAGAAGUUGUACCGAUCAAAUUAUCACCAAUUAUAUAGAACAUCCAUUUGGAAUGGCCUGCUGACUGAGUCAGUGUGGAGAUUAUGGGUACCCCAUACCCACACGGCAUGGUUAUCCGACUAGUUAUAGGGGAUAACUUAUAUCUAUGUAAUAUGUAACAGAUCAUGACUUGGGUGUUACGUUUCCUUGUAUAUUACGGAACGGCGUAAAGUCCUGAUUUGGGAAACCGAUACCGUAUUGGUUAAGGUUUCUAUCUUGUAAUCCUGCUCCCCAUCCUAUAUAAGGUGGGCAGGAGGCCCUCUAGGGGGCAGAUAUGAGACAACCUGAUCAUCAGAUCAAUACACACCCGGCGGAUUCAAAUCCCCAAACAGGAGUAGGGUAUUACCUCUCAUUGAGAGGGCCUGAACCUGUCUAAAUCCUUUGUCUCCACAUCCAUCCACUUUUAGGUCUCGUGCGCUACCCCUUUUAUUAUUGCCGAAAUCAUGUUUCGACAGUUGGCGCGCCAGGUAGGGGUUGCGUCGAGUUUUCCGUCGAGAAGUGCGAUGGAACUCUGUGCCGGCAUCAUCGGUGCUACUCUUGUCUUUGGCCGUGAUCCUCUCAACAAAAGGGCAGGGUCUUCGUCGCCAAAAAUUCUAUCUGGAUCUGGUUUAUCGUUCUAAAUUUUCUUAUAUAAAUUAGAAUUAAUUCACAGAUCACUAAUUAUUAUUUGAUCUAUUAUUUUAUACAUGUACCGCCGGCCGCUUCGUCGCUGCCGAUUGGUUUCAUCGCCUCCACAGUUGGUGUGCGCCGCUGCCGUUGCUGAUGGCGAUAUCGUCUUCACCGCCGGCCUGCCUCCGUCGCCGCCGACUGGUGUCCUCGCCUAUACGGUCGGUUGGUCACACCACCGUUGAUGGGCAUCGUCAUCUACACCGCCGGCCUGCCUCCGUCGCCGCCGACUGGUGUCAUCGCCUAUACGGUUGGUCGGUCACACCACCGUUCAUGGGCGUCCAUGUCUUCACCGACCGGCUGGCCUUCGCCGCCGCCGACUGGUGCCUCCGCCUACACGGCUGGCCUAUUAUGCCGCCGCUGUUGGGCGUCCACGACUUCACCGCCGGCCUGCCUCCGUCGCCGCCGACUGGUGUCUUCGUCUAUAUGGUUGGUUGGUCACACCACCGUUGUUGGGCGUCUACGUCUUCACCACCGGCAUGCCUCCGUUGCCGCCGAGUGGUGCCUCCGCCUACACGGCUGGCCUAUUAUGCCGCCGCUGUUGGGCGUCCACGACUUCACCGCCGGCCUGCCUCCGUCGCCGCCGACUGGUGUCCUCGCCUAUACGGUCGGUUGGUCACACCACCGUUGAUGGGCAUCGUCAUCUACACCGCCGGCCUGCCUCCGUCGCCGCCGACUGGUGUCAUCGCCUAUACGGUUGGUCGGUCACACCACCGUUCAUGGGCGUCCACGUCUUCACCGACCGGCUGGCCUUCGUCGACUGGUGUUUUCGCCUGCACGGCUGGCCUAUUAUGCCGCCGUUGUUGGAUGUCUACAUCUUCACCGUUGGAUCACCUUCGUUGCCGUCGACUGGUGUUUCCGCUUACACGGCUGGCCUAUUAUGCCGCCGUUAGUGGGCAUCUUCGCUUUCACCGUCGACCGCCUUCGUCGCCGCCGACUGGUGUCUUCAUUGUUAUUGAUGGACGACUUUGUUCCCACAUUGGCCACUUCUGCCAUCACCAAGGGGAAUAUUACAAAGCUAAGUCAUCAUUUAUUUUAUUCUUUAUAUGAUAUUUUUCCUUUUCCUCUGCCUCACUACACCAAUUGGUCUUCCAUUGAGUAGUGAGUCGGGGGCUAGAGAUGUUAUAUCAUAUUUUUCAUAAUAUUUAUCUUGAUUGCUUGCGACAUAAUCUGAGUACAAAAGUACCUAUCGAGUUAUGGAGUUCUAUCUUCCUAUGCUUUCCGUUUGGUUUGCCAAUGGAUAGUUGCCUUUAGGCCGAUUCCUAGCACCCGGGGGCUCGUUGGAUGGACCGAGUAACGCAAGGUGCUAAGUAUUAUUCGGAAUAAAUCAAAAGCAUAGAGAUAAGAUAAUUUAUUUUCUGCUCUUAAUAAUUGCAAAAGUACCCGAGUAGUAAACUCCGAUCCGUGAAACUUUGUUCCAUUAAUGACGAACUCAUGUCACUCAUAUGCAUGUUUGGGAAGUGCUUAGGCCGACUCCCAGUGCUUGGUGGCUAUGACUAGUCGGGCAGAGUGUUUAAACGUAAUGAGUCAUCUGCUCGGAGAAAUCAAAAUUAACAAGAGAAGACAUACGUAUUUAUAAACUGCUUGAUUUUUUCUCGAGUAUUAUAUUUAUAUCAGAUACUACUCAUCCUAUAUGUUUGUUCUGCAGGAUCCAGAUCCAGAUAUGCAUAAAAGGGAUUCAUGGCUUUAAGCAUAUCUCUUAUGCUCCAGGAAUGGAUCAGUCAGAACAUCACCACCGGCUCGCCUCGACCGCCGCCGACUGGCGUUUCCGCCUGCACGGCUGGCCUAUUAUGCCGCCGAUGUUGGGCGUCUACGUCUUCACCGACCGGCUUGCCUUCGCCGCCGCCGACUGGUGUGUCCGCCUGCACGGGUGGCCUAUUAUGCCGCCGUUGUUGGGCGUCUACGUCUUCACCGACCGGCUUGCCUUCGCCGCCGCCGACUGGUGUGUCCGCCUGCACGGUCUGGCCUAUUAUGCCGCCGUUGUUGGGCGUCUACGUCUUCACCGACCGGCCUGCCUUCGCCGCUGCCGACUGUGGUGUCCGCUGCACGGCUCUUAUGGCUGCCGUUGUGGGCGUCUACGUCUUCACCGACCGGCCGCCUCGUCGGCCGCCGACUGGUGUUUCCGUCUGCACGGCUGGCCUAUUACGCCACCGUUGUUGGGCGUCUACGUCUUCACCGAUGGCCGCCUCGUCCGCCGCCGAUUGGUGUCUUCGCCUAUACGGUUGGUUGGUCACACCACCGUUGUUGGGCGUCUACGUCUUCACCGACCGGCUUGCCUUCGUCGCCGCCGACUGGUGUCUCCGCCUGCACGGCUGCCCUAUCAUGCCACCAUUGUUGGGCGUAUACGUCUUCACCGACCGCACGCCUCGUCAGCCGCCGACUGGUGUUUCCGCAUGCACGGCUGGCCUAUAAUGCCACCGUUGUGGGGCGUCUACGUCUUCACCGACCGGCCGCCUCGUCAGCCGCCGACUGGUGUUUCCGCCUGCACGGCUGGCCUAUUAUGCCACCGUUGUUGGGCGUCUACGUCUUCACCGACCGGCCGCCUUCGUCCGCCGCCGACUGGUGUGUCCGCCUGCACGGCUGGCCUAUUAUGCCGUCGUUGUUGGGCGUCUACAUCUUCACCGACCGGCCGCCUCGUCGGCCGCCGACUGGUGUCUCCGCCUGCACGGCUGGCCUAUUAUGCCACCAUUGUUGGGCGUCUACGUCUUCACCGACCGGCCGCCUCGUCAGCCGCCGACUGGUGUUUCCGCCUGCACGGCUGGCCUAUUAUGUCACCGUUGUUGGGCGUCUACGUCUUCACCGACCGGCCGCCUCGUCAGCCGCCGACUGGUGUUUCCGCCUGAACGGCUGGCCUAUUAUGCCACCGUUGUUGGGCGUCUACGUCUUCACCGACCGGCCGCCUCGUCCGCCGCCGACUGGUGUUUCCGCCUGCACGGCUGGCCUAUUAUGCCGCCGUUGUUGGGCGUCUACGUCUUCACCGACCGGCCUGCCUCCGUCGCCGCCGACUGGUGUCCUCGCCUAAACGGUUGGUUGGUCACACCACCGUUCAUGGGCAUCCACGUCUUCACCGACCGGCCACCUCGUCCGCCGCCGGACUGGUGUUCCGCCUGCACGGCUGGCCUAUUGAGCCGUCGUUGUUGGGCGUCUACGACUCCACCACCGGCCUGCCUCCGUCGCCGCCGACUGGUGUCCUCGCCUAAACGGUUGGUUGGUCACACCACCGUUCAUGGGCAUCCACGUCUUCACCGACCGGCCGCCUCGUCCGCUGCCGACUGGUGUUUCCGCCUGCACGGCUGGCCUAUUAUGCCGCCGUUGUUGGGCGUAUACGUCUUCACCGACCGGCCGCCUCGGUCGCCGCCGACUGGUGUUUCCGCCUGCACGGCUGGCCUUUAUGCCGCCGUUGUUGGGCGUCUACGUCUUCACCGACCGGCCUGCCUUCGCCGCUGCCGACUGGUGUUUCCGCCUGCACGGCUGGCCUUUAUGCUGCCGUUGUUGGGCGUCUACGUCUUCACCGACCGGCCGCCUCGUCGGCCGUCGACUGGUGUUUCCGCCUGCACGGCUGGCCUAUUAUGCCACCGUUGUUGGGCGUCUACGUCUUCACCGACCGGCCGCCUCGUCCGCCGCCGAUUGGUGUCUUCGCCUAUACGGUUGGUUGGUCACACCACCGUUGUUGGGCGUCUACGUCUUCACCGACCGGCCUGCCUUCGCCGCCGCCGACUGGUGUCUCCGCCUGCACGGCUGGCCUUUAUGCUGCCGUUGUUGGGCGUCUACGUCUUCACCUGACCGGCCGCCUCGUCGGCCGCCGACUGGUGUUUCCGCCUGCACGGCUGGCCUAUUAUGCCGCCGUUGUUGGGCGUCUACGUCUUCACCGACCGGCCGCCUCGUCCGCCGCCGAUUGGUGUCUUCGCCUAUACGGUUGGUUGGUCACACCACCGUUGUUGGGCGUCUACGUCUUCACCGAUCGGCUUGCCUUCGUCGCCGCCGACUGGUGUCUCCGCCUGCACGGCUGGCCUAUUAUGCCACCCUUGUUGGGCGUCUACGUCUUCACCGACCGGCCGCCUCGUCCGCCGCCGACUGGUGUUUCCGCCUGCACGGCUGGCCUUUAUGCUGCCGUUGUUGGGCGUCUACGUCUUCACCGACCGGCCGCCUCGUCGGCCGCCGACAGGUGUUUCCGUCUGCACGGCUGGCCUAUUACGCCACCGUUGUUGGGCGUCUACGUCUUCACCGACCGGCCGCCUCGUCCGCCGCCGACUGGUGUUUCCGCCUGCACGGCUGGCCUAUUAUGCCGCCGUUGUUGGGCGUCUACGUCUUCACUGACCGGCUUGCCUUCGCCGCCGCUGACUGGUGUUUCCGCCUGCACGGCUGGCCUUUAUGCCGCCGUUGUUGGGCGUCUACGUCUUCACCGACCGGCCGCCUCGUCGGCCGCCGACUGGUGUUUCCGCCUGCACGGCUGGCCUAUUAUGCCUCCGUUGUUGGGCGUCUACGUCUUCACCGACCGGCCGCCUCGUCCGCCGCCGAUUGGUGUCUUCGCCUAUACGGUUGGUUGGUCACACCACCGUUGUUGGGCGUCUACGUCAUCACCGAUCGGCUUGCCUUCGUCGCCGCCGACUGGUGUCUCCGCCUGCACGGCUGGCCUAUUAUGCCACCGUUGUUGGGCGUCUACGUCUUCACCGACCGGCCGCCUCGUCCGCCGCCGACUGGUGUUUCCGCCUGCACGGCUGGCCUAUUAUGCCGCCGUUGUUGGGCGUCUACGUCUUCACCGACCGGCUUGCCUUCGCCGCCGCUGACUGGUGUUUCCGCCUGCACGGCUGGCCUUUAUGCCGCCGUUGUUGGGCGUCUACGUCUUCACCGACCGGCCUGCCUUCGCCGCUGCCGACUGGUGUUUCCGCCUGCACGGCUGGCCUUUAUGCUGCCGUUGUUGGGCGUCUACGUCUUCACCGACCGGCCGCCUCGUCGGCCGCCGACUGGUGUUUCCGCCUGCACGGCUGGCCUAUUAUGCCACCGUUGUUGGGCGUCUACGUCUUCACCGACCGGCCGCUCGUCCGCCGCCGAUUGGUGUCUUCGCCUAUACGGUUGGUUGGUCACACCACCGUUGUUGGGCGUCUACGUCUUCACCGAUCGGCUUGCCUUCGUCGCCGCCGACUGGUGUCUCCGCCUGCACGGCUGGCCUAUUAUGCCACCGUUGUUGGGCGUCUACGUCUUCACCGACCGGCCGCCUCGUCCGCCGCCGACUGGUGUUUCCGCCUGCACGGCUGGCCUUUAUGCUGCCGUUGUUGGGCGUUUACGUCUUCACCGACCGGCCGCCUCGUCGGCCGCCGACUGGUGUUUCCGUCUGCACGGCUGGCCUAUUACGCCACCGUUGUUGGGCGUCUACGUCUUCACCGACUGGCCGCCUCGUCCGCCGCCGAUUGGUGUCUUCGCCUAUACGGUUGGUUGGUCACACCACCGUUGUUGGGCGUCUACGUCUUCACCGACCGGCUUGCCUUCGUCGCCGCCGACUGGUGUCUCCGCCUGCACGGCUGGCCUUUAUGCUGCCGUUGUUGGGCGUCUACGUCUUCACCGACCGGCCGCCUCGUCGGCCGCCGACUGGUGUUUCCGCCUGCACGGCUGGCCUAUUAUGCCACCGUUGUGGGGCGUCUACGUCUUCACCGACCGGGCCGCCUUCGUCCGCCGCCGGACUGGUGUUUCCGCCUGCACGGCUGGCCUAUUAUACCGCCGUUGUUGGGCGUCUACGUCUUCACCGACCGGCUUGCCUUCGCCGCCGCUGACUGGUGUUUCCGGCUGCACGGCUGGCAUUAAUGCCGCCGCUGUUGGGCGUCUACGUCUUCACCGACCGGCCUGCCUUCGCCGCUGCCGACUGGUGUUUUCCGCCUGCACGGCUGGCCUUUAUGCUGCCGUUGUUGGGCGUCUACGUCUUCACCGACCGGCCGCCUCGUCGGCCGCCGACUGGUGUUUCCGCCUGCACGGCUGGCCUAUUAUGCCACCGUUGUUGGGCGUCUACGUCUUCACCGACCGGCCGCCUCGUCCGCCGCCGAUUGGUGUCUUCGCCUAUACGGUUGGUUGGUCACACCACCGUUGUUGGGCGUCUACGUCUUCACCGACCGGCCUGCCUCCGUCGCCGCCGACUGGUGUCCUCGCCUAUACGGUCGGUUGGUCACACCACCGUUGAUGGGCAUCGUCAUCUACACCGCCGGCCUGCCUCCGUCGCCGCCGACUGGUGUCAUCGCCUAUACGGUUGGUCGGUCACACCACCGUUCAUGGGCGUCCACGUCUUCACCGACCGGCUGGCCUUCGUCGACUGGUGUUUUCGCCUGCACGGCUGGCCUAUUAUGCCGCCGUUGUUGGAUGUCUACAUCUUCACCGUUGGAUCACCUUCGUUGCCGUCGACUGGUGUUUCCGCUUACACGGCUGGCCUAUUAUGCCGCCGUUAGUGGGCAUCUUCGCUUUCACCGUCGACCGCCUUCGUCGCCGCCGACUGGUGUCUUCAUUGUUAUUGAUGGACGACUUUGUUCCCACAUUGGCCACUUCUGCCAUCACCAAGGGGAAUAUUACAAAGCUAAGUCAUCAUUUAUUUUAUUCUUUAUAUGAUAUUUUUCCUUUUCCUCUGCCUCACUACACCAAUUGGUCUUCCAUUGAGUAGUGAGUCGGGGGCUAGAGAUGUUAUAUCAUAUUUUUCAUAAUAUUUAUCUUGAUUGCUUGCGACAUAAUCUGAGUACAAAAGUACCUAUCGAGUUAUGGAGUUCUAUCUUCCUAUGCUUUCCGUUUGGUUUGCCAAUGGAUAGUUGCCUUUAGNCCGAUUCCUAGCACCCGGGGGCUCGUUGGAUGGACCGAGUAACGCAAGUGCUAAGUAUUAUUCGGAAUAAAUCAAAAGCAUAGAGAUAAGAUAAUUUAUUUUCGGCUCUUAAUAAUUGCAAAAGUACCCGAGUAGUAACUCCGAUCCGUGAAACUUUGUUCCAUUAAUGACGAACUCAUGUCACUCAUAUGCAUGUUUGGGAAGUGCUUAGGCCGACUCCCAGUGCUUGGUGGCUAUGACUAGUCGGGCAGAGUGUUUAAACGUAAUGAGUCAUCUGCUCGGAGAAAUCAAAAUUAACAAGAGAAGACAUACGUAUUUAUAAACUGCUUGAUUUUUUCUCGAGUAUUAUAUUUAUAUCAGAUACUACUCAUCCUAUAUGUUUGUUCUGCAGGAUCCAGAUCCAGAUAUGCAUAAAAGGGAUUCAUGGCUUUAAGCAUAUCUCUUAUGCUCCAGGAAUGGAUCAGUCAGAACAUCACCACCGGCUCGCCUCGACCGCCGCCGACUGGCGUUUCCGCCUGCACGGCUGGCCUAUUAUGCCGCCGUUGUUGGGCGUCUACGUCUUCACCGACCGGCUUGCCUUCGCCGCCGCCGACUGGUGUGUCCGCCUGCACGGCUGGCCUAUUAUGCCGCCGUUGUUGGGCGUCUACGUCUUCACCGACCGGCUUGCCUUCGCCGCCGCCGACUGGUGUGUCCGCCUGCACGGCUGGCCUAUUAUGCCGCCGUUGUUGGGCGUCUACGUCUUCACCGACCGGCCUGCCUUCGCCGCUGCCGACUGGUGUUUCCGCCUGCACGGCUGGCCUUUAUGCUGCCGUUGUUGGGCGUCUACGUCUUCACCGACCGGCCGCCUCGUCAGCCGCCGACUGGUGUUUCCGCCUGCACGGCUGGCCUAUUAUGCCACCGUUGUUGGGCGUCUACGUCUUCACCGACCGGCCGCCUCGUCCGCCGCCGAUUGGUGUCUUCGCCUAUACGGUUGGUUGGUCACACCACCGUUGUUGGGCGUCUACGUCUUCACCGACCGGCCUGCCUUCGCCGCCGCCGACUGGUGUCUCCGCCUGCACGGCUGGCCUUUAUGCUGCCGUUGUUGGGCGUCUACGUCUUCACCGACCGGCCGCCUCGUCGGCCGCCGACUGGUGUUUCCGCCUGCACGGCUGGCCUAUUAUGCCACCGUUGUUGGGCGUCUACGUCUUCACCGACCGGCCGCCUCGUCCGCCGCCGACUGGUGUUUCCGCCUGCACGGCUGGCCUAUUAUGCCGCCGUUGUUGGGCGUCUACGUCUUCACCGACCGGCUUGCCUUCGCCGCCGCUGACUGGUGUUUCCGCACUGCACGGCUGGCACUUUAUGCCGCCGUUUGUUGGGCGUCUACGUCUUCACCGACCGGCACUGCCUUCGCCGCUGCCGACUGGUGUUUCCGCCUGCACGGCUGGCACUUUAUGCUGCCCGUUGUUUCGUUGGGGCCGGGUUCUACGUCUUCACCGACCGGCCGCCUCGUCGGCCGCCAGACUGGUGUUUCCGCCUGCACGGCUGGCCUAUUACGCCACGCGUUGUUGGGCGUCUACGUCUUCACCGACCGGCCUGCCUUCGCCGCUGCCGACUGGUGUUUCCGCCUGCACGGCUGGCCUUUAUGCUGCCAGUUGUUGGGCGUCUACGUCUUCACCGACCGGCCCCCUCGUCGGCCGCCGACUGGUGUUUCCGCCUGCACGGCUGGCCUAUUACGCCACCGUUGUUGGGCGUCUACGUCUUCACCGACCGGCCUGCCUUCGCCGCUGCCGACUGGUGUUUCCGCCUGCACGGCUGGCCUUUAUGCCGCCGUUGUUGGGCGUCUACGUCUUCACCGACCGGCCGCCUCGUCCGUCGCCGACUGGUGUUUCCGCCUGCACGGCUGGCCUAUUAUGCCGCCGUUGUUGGGCGUCUACGUCUUCACUGACCGGCUUGCCUUCGUCGCCGCCGACUGGUGUCUCCGCCUGCACGACUGGCCUAUUAUGCCACCGUUGUUGGGCGUCUACGUCUUCACCGACCGGCCGCCUCGUCCGCCGCCGACUGGUGUUUCCGCCUGCACGGCUGGCCUAUUAUGCCACCGUUGUUGGGCGUCUACGUCUUCACCGACCGGCCGCCUCGUCAGCCGCCGACUGGUGUUUCCGCCUGCACGGCUGGCCUAUUAUGCCACCGUUGUUGGGCGUCUACGUCUUCACCGACGGGCCGCCUCGUCCGCCGCCGACUGGUGUUUCCGCCUGCACGGCUGGCCUAUUAUGCCACCGUUGUUGGGCGUCUACGUCUUCACCGACCGGCCGCCUCGUCCGCCGCCGACUGGUGUUUCCGCCUGCACGGCUGGCCUAUUAUGCCACCGUUGUUGGGCGUCUACGUCUUCACCGACCGGCCGCCUCGUCCGCCGCCGACUGGUGUUUCCGCCUGCACGGCUGGCCUAUUAUGCCACCGUUGUUGGGCGUCUACGUCUUCACCGACCGGCCGCCGCAUCCGCCGCUGACUGGUGUCACCGCCUGCACGGCUGGCCUGUUAUAACGCCAACUGAUGCUAUCUUCUUCACGGCUGGCUACAUCGCUGUCACUACUAAUAGGCAUCAGUAUCUUCAACACAAGCUGCCUACGUUUGCCAUGGCUGCCGACUAGUUUCUUCACUUCCAUGGCUGCAUGAUUCUGCCAGUGUUGAUUGGCCUAUUAUGCCGCUGUUGUUGGGCAUCUACAUCUUCAUCGCCGGUCGUCUCGUCUGCUGCUGACUAGUGCCCUUACCUCUACGUCUGGUUUAUACAGCUACCACUACUGAUGGACAUCAUCGUCUUUCGUCGCCGACUGGUUAUGCUGUCGCCGACUAGUGCUUUUAUUUUCACAACUGCGCGUCUUCGCUACCAGCUUGCUUCUAUUGCCGCCGACUCGUGUUCACUUCAUCACGGCGAUGCAACUUUGUCAUCAUGGUGGAGCGACUUCAUCUUUAUUAUCUUCGUCACUGGCAAACUCUAUUGCUGCUACUUCGCAAGUUUUGCUUCUUCACCAACCAUGACGUCUUUGUGAACCUCGACAUCUCGGCAUGCGAUGCCGUGUUAUUUUACUACAACAAGUGGCUCUCCAAUAUUCAGGAUUUCUACUUGGACAUCUUCAACACAUAUCUUCAAUCAAGCAAUGACUAUUCGAUGACAAGAAGCUACAGUUCUCGACUCUAUGUUUAGUUGUUUCCCAACUAAUCAAAGAGUCGGGGGCUACACAAAUACAAGGCUCAAAAUUUGACAAAUUUUAUGUCAAGCUGAAGAAAUCAAUUCAUCAACCCACGAGUCAACUCCAGGAGUCAUUAUCUUCAUCUUUGCUUCGGAGCAGACAUUCUACUUCAACAACUUCAAAUAUUUCGCACCUCUGCUUCAUCGACCCUGACAUCUCUGCUGUUGCUAAUGGAUGAUUAUGUUUUCGCCGACUUAUUAUUUCACCUUCACGGUUGACCUACUAUGCAAAUGCUGAUGAGCGUCUUUGUCAUUAUCAUUGGUUGCUACACUGCUAUUGGCUGGAUCACCGACAUCGUCAUCUUCAUCAUGUCGGUUGCGUUUGUCGGCGUCAAGUAUUUUCUUCAUCUUCAUGAUUGGUGGAUUUCGUCAUCGUCUUUGAUGCGUGUCUACAUCUUCACCGUCGGCUUGCUUUCAUCACCACCGACUGAUUAUUUCGUCGCCGCCGACUGCUCUGUCGUUGUUGUUGGGGGCCUUCAUCUUCAUUGCUAGCUGACCUGAUUGCUGCCGACUGGUUUCUUCGCCUCUGCGGCUGUGCAACUUCAUCACUUUUGAUUGGAAUCACUAUCUUCCCUACCACCAAUAUUUUUGCCACCUCUGGUGGGCAAUAUUCUCUCUAUAUUGGUUGUCUUGUCUCUAUGCUAACUGCGUCAGCUACCAUCAAUGAACAAUUGUGACUACGUGCUCAGGGGCUUACUAGCUCAAAUACAAGUAUUAUAUCUUCAAUUUGGACUUGCUCCGGAUACAUGCAACAUGAAUUCAUGAUCAUGGGUCUAUUUUAUAUGCUCAAGGACUGGACUAUUUAUUAUUCCCCGUAAGGGUUAUCAACUGAAUACUUGCGCCAGUCGGGAUUCAAUUAUUAUAUUUAUUUGGGAGUAUCCCAUAAGGGAUAAUCAUUCAGAUCAGAAGCUAUUCAUAUGAGCUACACUUGGUCUAUAUUACCCGGAAGAUUUAUUACUCGGGAGCAUGUUACAUGCGUCAUCCUUUAAAGGGUAUCGAAGGCAUAUUUUUUGGCCAAGGCCUAAUAUGUCUGCAGCCCAUAUUUUCAGGUGUGGCCUGUCACGUUCUUUUAGGGACUUAGGCACUUUUUGCUUAGGCCAAAGUGCGCGUGAUCAAGUGCCCAAUACCUUAAAAUCCUUUUAUACCGCAGUUACUCAACUUUUUAGGAGUUGGUACAAUGCAUCUUAAAAGGUGUCAAACAGUAAAGCUUUAUAUAGCUGCCCCGCUGACUUUUUAAUAUAGUCAUGGUGCUGUGUGGGUUUUUAAGCAAUUGAUUGAAUACAAUAUCAUUGCUUUUUGCCACGUAAGUGUGCAUUUUUAUUGACCAAUAUUAUGGCUUAGGCUGAUUAUAUAUUGUGGUCAUUUUACAGGCGGGUGGUAAAUCCUUUAUGAGUUUAUUUACUCGGAUUUUAUAACACAUAUGCCAUAUAUUUCCAGGUGUGGUGGAACCAUGUGUCUUCUAGGGACUUAAGCACAUAUGUUAAAACAGUGUGCGCAUGGCGUAUGCCCAAUACUUUGGAAAUUUCUUUAUUCACAACACACAAGCUUUUUUAUAGCUGUUUUGCUAUGUGAAUUUUCAAUACAUGUAGCCAACUUUAGGUUACGCUCAUCAUAUUUUACAAAGCAGUCGGUAUAUCACUCGGAUCAUGUUAUUGGAGGAUUCACACCGCAUAUGCUAUAUAUUGAUAUCAAGUCACUUGGUUGAUUACGAUUAUCAAAAUCACUCGGUUGGUUGGAUUAUUUAUUCCUUGACUAUAUGCUUGGUUUGUUCAAUUAACCACAUUGUCGGGGGCUACACCUAUUCAGGUGCAUCUCAGUCGGUGCACCUGACUAUAUUUUUCAGCCCUCCACAGUCUUCAGAUUUGGUAAAAGUACUCGGGAGACCAUGGCGAAGAUGCAUUGGAGCACUCGGCUUUGGAGUAAUCUAGUUCGAGAGAAGGUUAUCUUUCCGACUGUGAAGGUCUCAGGGGCUACUGUGGAGAUUAUGGGUACCCCAUACCCACACGGCAUGGUUAUCCGACUAGUUAUAGGGGAUAACUUAUAUCUAUGUAAUAUGUAACAGAUCAUGACUUGGGUGUUACGUUUCCUUGUAUAUUACGGAACGGCCUAAAGUCCUGAUUUGGGAAACCGAUACCGUAUUGGUUAAGGUUUCUAUCUUGUAAUCCUGCUCCCCAUCCUAUAUAAGGUGGGCAGGAGGCCCUCUAGGGGGCAGAUAUGAGACAACCUGAUCAUCAGAUCAAUACACACCCGGCGGAUUCAAAUCCCCAAACAGGAGUAGGGUAUUACCUCUCAUUGAGAGGGCCUGAACCUGUCUAAAUCCUUUGUCUCCACAUCCAUCCACUUUUAGGUCUCGUGCGCUACCCCCUUUUAUUAUUGCCGAAAUCAUGUUUCGACAGUCAGCCUGAUUCUGGCCGCAUGGCCACAUUCUCCACUUCCAUCACAUGAUUUAUCUUUGGAGAACUUUUGCCAAGUUUGUAUUAAAAAAGAGUAAAAAUCCGAUGCUCCACGAUAAAAGAUACUCUCCGUCCCAUAAAAAAUCAACUUAGUACUGGAUGUGACACAUCCUAAUACUACGAAUUUGCACAUAUCUUUGUCUAAAUUCGUUGUACUAGAUUAUGUCAUAUCUAGUCCUAGAUUUGUUUUUUUUUUGACAGGGGGAGUACCACUUAAAAGGUAGGUACUUAGCUAGUAAUUAAGGGUAAAGAGAUAAUUUUCCUAGGAGAUAGAGAAGGGUAAAAUUAUCUUCAGUUCUAGGUACGUAGGUACCACAUCGGUACCAUAUCUCAGUACAUUAUUUACGUGUUCUUUUUUAAGAUUUACAUUUUCUUCUUAAGAACGUAUUCGCUUUGUAAGCCUCCAUGACGUGAUUUACAUGCUUUGUAGAAUUCAUUCACUAACAACAAAUUAUAUGUUUCAGGAAUUAAAUAACUAAUUCUAUAAUACCAUACACCUAGAUUUCAAUAUGGACCCGAACUCAACCAUCUUCCAAAUUUACCUCACGUUGGCUGAUGUGCUUCGCCUUGCCAUUGUCGAGUUGAUCUCAUCUCCUAUUCAAUUCUCAACCAUACCAACACUUCUCCCAUUUUUUUCCCUGGUGAACCAAUGCAAACACUAGAACAAGAACGAAGUGAUGUGUAAAGAAGAUUCAACCGGAUUUUGGGUCAUGGGUAGAUCUAAUCGAUGCCAAAAUCAAUGCCUCCGAAUAUUUACNNAUUUUAAGUAAAUUCGAUUCAACNGUAAUGCCAAUAGUUCACUAGUUAAUAACUCUACUGCACAUUGGUUACAAUAAUUUUUCUUACAUACCUGUCUCCUCUCUUGAUCAAUGGUCCACAUUACCCCACCUCUCGAUAACUCUAAAUAGCUCGUAAACACUGUGAAACCUCUCAUAUCUUACGUACAAAAUGAUCCGUAACUGUUUGAUGAUCAGCAAUGGCACACAAAGAUACACGAGGCAAGAAUAAAGAAGGAAUAUAAUCAAAGAGGUAAAUUUGGAUACCCAGGCUCCUAACAUUUUCGCUAAAUGGCGCAUUCUUAUUUACAAAUUUUCAGCGCUGUCACACAGUCACACACUAACACGCAGGACCUUGCAGUAGACUGCAGUCUGCCAGCUAAGACGACGUUGGUCAAACAUCCAAGACAAAUCAGUCUUCUACAUGGUACAUGGAUAGCAAGGCCAGCAAAAGAACAAAACACAAAUCGUAAGGUAAAAACAUGGUGGAAUUCCGGACACCUCCCACUCUUAGAGCAGGUUGUCAGAUUCUCAGAGAUUGCAGGUAAGAUCAGUAUCAUAUCAUUCCCAGGCUACAACCCUACAACUGUGAAUGGCCUUGCUCAAGAUUACCAUUUGGCAGCUGCUGCUAUGUACUCAGCGAUCCCAGCAGCAAAUAUGACCGACUAUUUAUGCAUCCUUUAAUUCCUUUUCAAGUACUUCUCGCAUUGUCUUUGCGGCAAUUUUCAGGUAGCAAUAUGGACACGCAGAUACUGUCCUUGGUUUUGCACAGGAUAUCAGUUAUUAUUAUUUCUCAUUGUAGAAACAUCUUGUAACCAUUGUGUGAAUUGUCGGUACACACACCAGUCCAAUAGCUAAGAAGAUGCCAAAGAGCCAAGUAACAUCUCAACAAAAGUGUCAUGGUCUCAUGGAUCACAGUAAAAGAAUGUAAAUUGUCAUAGAAGGUAAAACCACCUUGUCCUACUGAGUCCAACUGAGAGAUCAUUGCUCAAGCAUUAUAGCUCCACAUGGCCGUUUUUUAGCUAGAAAACGAGUUUUGGGGCCACCAUUUUCUAUUGCCAUUACUUUUAAAUUAUUUACCUGUAAAAACUUUUAGCGAUUAACAUUGCCAUUAUUGUCAAUUUCCACUACUCUCCGUUUCGAAUGAUAAUAUACGGCACUCGAAGGAGAAAUAUAGCUGUAAGUGAACGGUGACAAAUGUCUAUGUUUGGCAGCUAGUUAGAACCGCCAAGAAUAUAUAGAAAACGACAGACAGAUUAAUGACCGCCAAAGAAAGCAAAGAGCCUCCAAGAAAAAUUACGGAUUCUUCAUUCUUAUAGUGAACUGGUACUCACAACAACUUUGAAUCUAUCCACAGUUGUAUGAAAAUAACUUGCUUGACAGAUGGCACAAUACGCGAACAAGAAUUAAACAACAAUAACUAUGCGACGGUUAAAGCAACGUAAUAGAGGUGGCAGUAUACUUCUACUUUAUCCGUAUCAUCAUACUUUAUUUUAUUGGUUUACUCACAAUUUAUCUUACCUUUUUCUCUGUACUUUUAUUAGAAAUUACAGAGAGCCUACUGCACGAGGGAAAGUUCAUCCAGUUAUCACAUCUCCCCCAACUUUCCACCUCGAUUCACAAAGGAGUUCCAAACAGCCCACCCCAACUUUUUACUGCAUAUGUUCAUAGCAGGCUAUUGACAUCUUGCAUGGAGCUAUGCUAGGAUUCCAGAUUCCAUGGAUGGAUAUACUACUAUGUAAGAAUAUGUGUAUGAAAUUUAUUAGCGAGGAGCCAGAGUUUCGAACUCAGAUCAAGUGCAACUAGCUUUUCUAAUAAUGGAAUAGAAUAUCCUGGCAUUUGCUCAACAAAUUACAGCCAAUUAUUACAACGUAACACUCAAAACGAGUGUAGUUCACAUAAAUAAAACAAGACACCAACAGGUAGCUUGGUCAAUAGUACAACUAACUAACGGCAUAGAAAUGACCACGUCGGAUUAUUGCAGCUAAUACAAAGUUAGUAGGGUAUACAAUAUAUAGCCAACAACACUUUAUACCUGCAACAGUGUUUACUUACAGCUUUUUCCUUUUUUUAAUUAGUUCAAUUUGUUGUAUUAGAGGAAAUGGAGUUGAUGCGGGUCCACAAAAUGCCAGCUUUUUGGCUUGUGCGGGCUGCUCCUGAGUUGCAGUGCAUGGUGGAUUGUGCUAUCGCCUGGUGAUUAAUUUGACGUUCACGUCCUUCUCUCUCCUUGGUUCUCUCUCCUUCAUAUUAGAAUAUAAUGAUAUAAAAUGUUUUAGAGGAAUGAGCCUAUUGUAACUGCCCUAAGGACUGCACUCGUUUCUGGCUAUCCAUUUUGAUGAUGAACGUUCAGAUUUGUUUCUACAGUAAUAACAUGGACAGAAAAGCUGACCAACGGCCAGUCUGUGUUGUGUGCUCAAAAACCACAAGGUACUAUACGUACUGUGGCAAUACAUUAUGAUUUACUCGGUAACAACUAAGUAUCUAAUCACAAUGUGCGUGUAAAAUUUCUCAGUACUGUUUCCAAUCAUAGCUUGCAUAGGCUGUGCGUCUUGGUGACAAAUAUGUGCAACCGUUGUAAAUAGCAGUGUUACUUUCUAGAUCACUAACAUUGUUUGGCCAUUUUAUAAGUUUCAUUGGUUUAGCUGCAUUUCUAGUGCCCCAAAUAGACCACAGAACAGCAAUAAAAUUCUUCAUAUCAUUAAUUCCUAUGGUUACACGAAACCCCUCGCGAGUGAGGAGGAAUACUCCACCCAUAUUGAAAGUACUAUCAACUACAUUCCAAACAAUAAAGCAAAUGGGCAUUUGGGAAACAAGGAUUGAUGUACAAGAAGAUGAAUACGUAUUGCAUGACACGAAUAUUUUCUAGCAAGUAUAGGGCAUUUGUAGCAGAGCCUUGAGAUGUUUGACAACAUUCAAUCUGCCUAUAUUUCGUCUUUCGUAAAGUUGGAUAUGCCCGUACUGCUUGACUCGUUUGAUUGAAAGAACAGAGUAUUGCUUGCUGCUCCUCUGGAUCCGCCAGUGUCGAGAGAGAGAGAGAGAGGAGGAGGAAAUUAAAGCCCCGACCCUAGUCAUCUACUCGGUGAUGCCGCGGGGUGGGGUGGGGGAGGGGGGGUUGGAGUCGCCAGUAUCUUGGAGAGCGGAAGAAAGCCCCAGCUAGCCUCGUUAGGCUAAGAGGAUGAAAUAGACGGCUAGGAAAGAACGUGUCCUCCCAUUUCUAGAGGACGAAGUUGCCAAGAAGGAAGAAGCAGGUUAACGGAAAUCUUGACCGCGAUGACAUGGUUUUAAUUUGGCAGAAAUAUUUUAACAAUUAUAUGUACCCAAUUAGUGCCUCACAAUAUGAUCAUGGUAAGGAGGGGGAUGCAGCGAGAAACGAAACAGCAAGGAUGCAUGGUUUGGAAUGAUUCUCGGCCUUCUGCCUUUUUCAUAUACCAACCAGCUGUUGGCAAGCUAGUUCCAAGCUCGCGAAUAGUUGGCCAUCAACGACAAACUUUCCAGUCAUUUCUCGAGUUUCAGCUGAACAGUCCAAGUGACUCAGAGUGUGUAUCAAUUGAACAACCGGAGUGACUCAAAGAGGCUAGAUCACUCCUGAUGCCUCCUAAUUCUACGCAUAAAAUAUUGUAUAGCAGAGCCUAUAAGUUGCAUGAUACAUUUCCAAGGUUGAGGAUAAUUAGCUAGCCCGUACCCAGUGACAGGCACAUUAGGAUUGCUGUCCUUUUGUCUAUAUAUCUACCAAUAGCACAUAGCACUAUAUAUUGUCCCACAUAUGCAUGUAUGCCAUGGGACCACAUAGUAUUUAGAAAUAUUUACCCUAAAGUAAUAUUAAGAAUAUUUUCAAUAAUCUAGUAUUUAUGAUACUUUAUAUAGUACUUUCCACUAUUCUUUUGACACAUUGUUAAAUUAAACCAGUACAACACGUUUUUAGCAAGCACAUGUAACUUAUCAGUCCCAGUCCCACUAAUGUAGUAUGAAUUCAUUUACAACUUUCAUUGCAUCACACCAAUUUGCUAGUAAAUUUGUUCCCAAUGAUUACUCCAUCAAGUACAACCAAAUAUGCAUGUUCGAGCUAGAAGGCUCUUAAUUUAGCACUAACCUUUGUUUGAUCUCCAUAUAUAAUUUGAUAUUUUACACAACGCGUUUAAUAACCCUCUCAAAAUUAACCUAGACGCGGCCUCAGUGAUUAGUGAUGUGUGAUGGCUCCUGGACCUACAAAUCCACAAUGAGGAGGAUGGCUCUUGUUAGCUUGGACUUACGUCCCUCCAGUGCAGAAACAAGCAGGAAAUGCGACAUGGUGCGUGUUAUCUUUGUGCCGGCAAGGUUUAAAUUUGCCCCCUACUGGUUUGGAACGGUUCAUCCACUCUGCGCAUUUUUCAUGACCCCCAAGCUUGGUAUUUUAGGUUCCGUCGAGAUGAGGGAGCUUGCUUAAUUUCAUGCGCAUCUUCAGGAUUUAAUUUUAACAGGCGUUUCAAGAGAGUCUUGCAGAUGUCAAUUGGAUGGAUGUGGCUAUGCUAUUCCCGAUGCCACCUAAUUCGACACAAGUUGUCCAAACAUGGAUGUAGAGAAACUAUAUAUACUCCCUCCAUCUAAUUUCGGUAGUCAUAUUUUAUCUUGGCACAAUGACCAAGGAUAAGUAAUUGUACUUUAUCAUCCAUUUUAACAUGCUACUAGUUAUUCCUCGUAAACAAGCGAUUCAUUAAUAGUAAAGUUCUCGAUGCUCAUAUAGCCAAUCUUGUGUGGAAAAGUAGAGAAUCACACAUUCAAUCUGAUAAAGUCAUUAAGAGGAUAGGUGGCUGGAUUGAAAUAUGCCUAUCAAAAAAUAAAUCUUUAAGAUUUGGAAAUAUUCCUAUCAAAAUAGAUAGAGUAUUUCAAUGUUAAUUAGAGAAAGAGUAAAAUACAGUAGCGGCCCUUAAACUUGCGGGCGGAUGUCAUCCAGGUCCACUAACUUGCAAAUUGUGUAAUUAGGCCACUAAACUUUCUAAAUGUACCAUCGCCGGUCCAAAAUGCCGUUUGACCGCGGUCGCGCCAACGUGGCAUGCCACGUGCAUAGCUGAGCUGGCCCGCACCGUGCGUGACACACCGCCCACGCCUGGUCGUUUUUCAUCCAGGUCCCUCUCUUUUUCUCAUUUGGUUUCCACCACUGCUUCUUCUUCCCCGGAGCGCCCAAAAUCUGAGCGGCGACUAGGGAUGCGAUUGAGGGCAAGGUUUGGCGGCGGAGCAGGUCGCGGCAGGUUCGGCGGCGGAGCAGGUCUCGGCAGGGUUCGGCGACGGAGUAUGUCAUGGCAGGGUUCACUACUAGAAAAAUCAUUUGUUGCUACGAAAAAAAUCGUGGCAUCAAUACUAAAAUUGUGGCAAUAGAUCCAUGUUGCCACAAUUUUAAAAUCGUUGCUAGCCGUGGUAAUAAAUAGCGUCGUAAUAGGUUAUGGCAACGAUUUUUAUUUUGUGGUAAUAAAUUUAGAUGUUGCCACGGAAUGGAUGUGGCAAAAAGUCAUAUUGCAACACUUCACGUCGUUGUAAUAAAAAUUAUUGCCACCACUCCAUAUGUGGCAUUAGUUUUAUGUACCAAACUAAAAGUUUAAAUAUUAAUCUAUCAUCCUAUCUAUUUUAUCUAUUUAUUUUUUUUGAUAUUGUGUCUUGGCUAGGAUUCGAACCCAAGACCUAUCCUUCACACAUGCUCUCCUUUACCAACUCACCUACGCAUCAAUUCUGUUGAAAAUGCAUAUCGUUCCAUUUGAGCCUACGUAACUGAGAUUUGAAUCAUAGAUUUGAAUAUCUAAAAGAUUUCAAAUGAAAAGGUUAUCACCUAUAAAAUUGUAGAUCUCGUUGAGAGCUAUAAUUUCCAUAUAAAAUUUGUCUCAAUCCGUGUUCAUAUGAAAAAAUUAAGUUAAAUUAUGAGACAACAAUUUUUUUAUUGCAACGAAUUUGUUGAUCGUGGCAACAAAAAAUAGUGAAAAAAAGUACCAUGUACUAUGUAAAUUGCCACAAAAAUUAAAAUUGUGGCGAUAGAACAUGUUUUUUGCAACAAUACGAUUUUUUGUGGUGAUAUCUCAUUUUCUAUUGCAACAAAACUACUAAAUAAAACAACGAUUGUAGAUCGUUGCAAUAAAAUAUAAUUAUUUACCACGGAAAAAUUAUCAUUGCAAUAGUACAAUAUAUUGCUACGAAUUAUUUUUUAUAGUAAUAAUUUGGUGGCAAUAGCUCAAUUAUCUUGUAGUGGUUCUUCGGCGGAGUAGGUCUCGGCGGGCUUCGGCGGCAGAGGCGAUGGCAGGCUCGAGCUCCAGUAGGAGCACAACACGGUCGGCGACCGAAAUAUCCAGGCAAGGUAAAACCUUUCCAUCUCCCAUUCGGUACCUGGAGAGUAGUUUGUUGAAGUCAGUUGGUUUAUUCAUUUUGAAUGUGCAGAAUGGUGGAUGCAAAUUAUGGCAGUGGUAUGAACCAGGGACAACGCUGUAUUUGCAGCAGGUUUUGAAUGAUUUAGUCAGCACUGUUCGUGAAGUGAAGACAGAGAACUCUGAAAUUAGAGCAUCCCUUGCCAACUCAAGAGCUGUGAUUGAUGGACUUGUCACUGAACGCAAUGUCUAUGAAGCAAAGAGCAUGGGACAAAAAGAGGAAUGUGGCUCAUUUGCUGAAAUGGCCUGUAGAAUCAAGAUGUUAGAAGAGAGUAGAUGAUUUAUGUUGUCAGUAAUUGUUGGUUUUGUAGUAGUCAUAUUUGCACUAUUGCUUCUUAGGUAGAUACCAAAGUUUGAUGGAUAUGGAUGUAUUGGUGCUGGUGUGUUUUGUGUCAGCUAAUAAGGCACUUGAGUGACCUUUUGUGUAUGCUGAAUCUGAACCAUGUAUGAAAAAUGUAUGCUAAAUGCUAUUAUGUGAAGCUGAAAUAUGAGAUUUUGUUCUGAAAAUCGACAUCUCUAAUUUUUUUUCAGCAGACAACUGUUAUUUUGUUCUAGCUUAUGAAAUGUCUUGUAAAACGUCAUCUAGAAAUAGCAAACAUGCAUCAUGCAUUACAGGCAGUAAUUUCCCAUAUUCAUCACAAUACCAAAUUUCUGGCAUUUAGUAGUAUUUCUAGUACUACAUUCAGUGAACACAUGUCUGGCAUCACAAAAUUCCCAUGUUCUAUCAUAAAAUAGCCGCAAGUUUGGCAGCACAAAAUCAAGCAAGCAUGCCCAUGAAAUCCAUACAGGGUUCAAAUUUUGGCAUAACAAAUUACUACUAGCACUAAAGGACCAUCAAACAUAUGGUCUAACACAUAUCACUUGUUUGUAGCAGUAGCUUUCUUCCCGGGAGCUCUGUUCUUUGAAGUAGUAGCAGCACUCCUGAAACUCCUUUAGUUGUACACUUCCUUUUGUUGGCCCUAGAUUUUCCCUCUUUUGUUGCUGUGGUCAUAGGGGUAGAUACUACAGCUGGCUAGUUUGAAAGGAUGUACUGGUUAUCUGGGAGAGGACCAUGUGUAGUUUCCAUUUGACUCACUUGUGAUGAUUCCUCAAACAUCUGGGCAACCAUAGGAUUAGGAACUUGUGAUAGUAAUUGGUCAUAUGCAGACUGAGAUUGGGUCAGCACCUACAAGUUUACAAAGGUAAUUAAGAUAGAGUUAUAAUAGGGUAGUGAUAAUAGAGUGAUAAGAUAGAGUAUUGUUUCAUUACCUCUGCUGGUUCUUGCUCAGAUUCAUGCCACUCUUCUGUAGAACUUGCACCUGGGAUCCUACUUGUCUUCACUUUGGGUCUGAGUCCAGCCUUUCUCAGUGGGCACCCUUUCUUGUUAUGUCCAGGCUCUUUGCAGUAAGAGCAGUGCAUCUCCACACCAUGCUUGGACAUUUUAGACCCAUUUUUUCCCUGUACCUCAUGUGGUGCUUUCCUCCUAGACUUAGGUGGUCUGCCAACCUUUUUCUCAUAUAUUGGAGGCUUCACUUCUGGCCCAUUCACCUGAGCCCACUUAGUCAUAUCAUUGCAGGGCCAAAUGUUAAAUGCAUAUGCAGGGUGGAAGAACUGACUCAGCACUAAUUCUUCUCACUCCUUAAGCAUGAGAUAGCAUGGUUACAAGGGAUGCCUGUCAGAUCCCAUCUCCUCCAGUCACAAUGUUUAGCACUAAGGUCAACAAUGUACUAAAAUUCCUAUCUUCCACCUGAAAAAUCCCUUUCCCGGCUGGCAAAACAUAACAUGUGUUUGCCAUAUCUGCAUUUUUCAGUACUUUCAAUAUCAUUUGCUAAUUGGACUAACUUUGCAAACCCUCCAAGUGUCAUCUUAUCAUUUGCUCUAAAAGUUUCAAUGUACUUCUCAGAUAGCCAUUUAGCAGUACACCUUUUCAGCACCCAUUCCUUCUGACAUUUAUGCUCCCCAAGAUAUGUCUUCACCAUCAUUGACUUGGACCUGCUAUCAAAUGAUGCAUAUAAGUUCCAUGGGCAACCCUCAACACAAUGGGCCCUAAGUCUUUUUUGCUCAUUCCUAGGCAUCUUGAUGUCCACUCUAGCCUUCAAACUGUACUCUGUUAUGGCCUUUCUAAGUACUUCUACUGAAGGAAACACCAUGCCAACCUUAAAAACUGGGUUCUUAACAUCCUCUGCCAUGAAAGCCUUAAACUUUAAUCUCACUUCACCAUCAUCAUCUGAAUCUGGGAGCUGCAAAUCUUCAUCAUCAGUGGAAACUUCCUCCCCAUCAGAAUUUCUAACUACUAUUUCUUUCCCCUUCAACUGACUGCCCUUAGCUUUCUUCCAAAACUUUGCCUUGCAGUCAGAUAAGUCUUCAACACCCACAUCAACAUUGUCAACAUACAAGUCAUCAUUUGCAUCUGAUAUAUCAUAGUCACUAUCCAUAAAAUCUGGGUCAUCUUCUAAGCUACCAUCACUGUCACUGUCAUCUUAUUUGUUUGGCACCUUCCUAUCAGCAGUUGACAUCUUCCUAGGACUAAGCACCUUAGGCAAUUCACUAAUAGGAUUAGCUACUACAUCAUCCCAAUCUACACCUGCAAUUGUGUCACCCUGAUCCAAGUAGAUAAUAAAAUUCUUAACCUUGUGCACAACUGAUUUCAUCACUUCAAAGUCAGCCCUAGUNNNNNNNNNNNNNNNNNNNNNNNNNNNNNNNNNNNNNNNNNNNNNNNNNNNNNNNNNNNNNNNNNNNNNNNNNNNNNNNNNNNNNNNNNNNNNNNNNNNNNNNNNNNNNNNNNNNNNNNNNNNNNNNNNNNNNNNNNNNNNNNNNNNNNNNNNNNNNNNNNNNNNNNNNNNNNNNNNNNNNNNNNNNNNNNNNNNNNNNNGAACUAGAAAAAAAGGAGAUUUUUAUCUUUCGCAUACUUAGGAUUAUUAUUAUGUAAUUUACCUUUGGUUGGAUAGUUUUGCAACUAUUAUAUCUAUUUGCACAAAUACCUCGAUGGUUCCUAAUCGUUAAUAGUCUGAUAAGUAUAUCUUGGGUUGGUUCGCAAAUAGGAUCCCUAAUAGUGGAAGAUAGGAGAUUCACAUCAGAAAACAUAAGUAAACGAGCUUCCGCCUAAGCUUCCAAGGAUAAAGGUAGAUGAACAACCAUUUGAUCCCCAUCAAACUCCGCAUUCACUACUACACAAACGAUUUUUUUAUAUGAAACCCCAUGAUUUUUGCAAACGGACCAUAACUUGCCGUGUCUGGAAAAAUCGAGCGGCAUUUUUGCAUACGGCUCCUUAAGACGUCCAGAUGGAAAAAUCGAUUUUCCCAUACGGGCCACUUAAAAUGUCCGCAUGCGGACCACUUAAGAGCCCGCAUGGAAAAAUCGAUUUUUCCAUAUAGACGUCUUAAGGAGCCAUAUGCAUAAAUAAAAAUUUAAAAAUUUAAAACUAGUUUAUCUCACUCAUAUGAUCUCCAAAUUGGAUGAUUAUUUUUCCUAAAUGUUUCUAAAAUCAUGCUCUAUCAUGUUAUUGUGUUAUUGCUGCUAUUAUUUUGGCCAUUUUUUCUUGUGACUUCGUUUUAUCAAUUAAAAAUUUGAAUUUCAAAACUUCAAAUAAUAUUUUGAAGCAGUAAAUAAUUUUAGCUGAAAAAGUCAUCCAAUAACAAAGUUGUAUAGCUCAUCAAGAUCUAUAACUUUUAUUUUGGUCAUUUCUUCAUCCCGAUAAAGUUAUAGUAACAUUUUCAAAAAAAUUACAUAUCUCUCUUAUAUUUUAUAAAACCAUAUAAGAUAUGUAAAUUUUGUGAACAAUGUUACUAUCACUUUGUCGGAUGAAGAAAUGACUAAAAUAAACCAUUUAUAGAUAUUGACGAGUUAUACCACUUUGUUGUUGAUGACUUUUUCACCUGAAAUCAUUUAGCAUUUCCAAAUGUUGUCUGACAGUGUCCUAAUUUGAAAUUCCAAUUCCCAUUGUGGAAACAAAGUCAUAUAGAAAAAUGACCGAAACAAAAGUUGUAGAUCUUGAUAAAGUGAUACAACUUCGGGUAUCGAUAGUUUUUUCAUUUGAAAUCAUUUACUACCCGAAGAAAUUAUGUGAAUUUCUUAUAUUUUAAAAUUCGAAUUUUAGAUAGUUCGAUCAAACUCGGAUGGAGAAAUGACCAAAAGAAAAAUGAUAGAUCUCAAUGAGUUCACAACUUUGUUUUAGACAACUUUUUUACAUGAGUUGAUUUAGUACCAUAAAAAUUCGAUUCGAAUUUCUCAUAUUUUUGCAUGCGGGCCCUUAAGAGGUCCGCAUCCAAAAAUGCCACCCCAAUUUUUUCAUCUCUGUCGACGAGUGGUUCUCGUGGACCGGAUGAGUUGAGUAUUGGGGUACGUUGGAACGAGGAUCUACAUAGUACGACAUCAAGCAGACAAAAGACAAGGAUUAUACUGGUUCAGGCCCCUUAUCAGGUAAUAGCCCUAGUCCAGUUUAUAUGAGAUUAAAGAUGGAGAACCACAUAUUACAAAGAAAGUAGACGAAAUAGACGAUACCGACAAGAUCGUAGUCGGUGUACCCGACGAGAUCUCCCGGUGACUUGGCUCCGUAUACUCCGUCUUCGUGAACUAUGGUGGGUGUGUAGACGAUAAAAUUCGAUGCCUUGCACCCCUCACUGGGGGUCCCUUUUAUACCGUGGAUCAUCUUGAUCCCUAAGUAAGGCCUGGAGAUAUUUGAUCUGGUACGGUAUAAAAGAAUCUCUAUCCCUUUCAAGUAGGACUUUGGUAAAUCACUUAUCUCGUAAAGAUAUUUCCGUAAUUUGGAACAAAUCCCUACAACGUAUACGGAAACGAUCCGUAUACGUGAAGGUAUACCAUAUCAGUAUAUUCUAUAAGUCGUAGGAUAUGAGGUAUGCCUUAUCUAUAACCCUGACAAUCUCCCUCCACUCUCUUUUCCCUCCCACCACUUCAAUUUUUUCCAACCCAUCUCCUCUCUCUUUCCCCUUCUAUUAUUUUACUCUCCCCCCUCUCUCUCUCUUUCUCUCCUCUCCUCUCUCUUUUUAUUCUGUCCUCUCCCUCUCCCUCUCCGAGAGCGGGCGCCAGUGGCCGUGAUGGCGUUGGCGGGUGCGGAUCCGGUGGCGCCGCCCUCAGGUGGGCCGGAUCUGCUGCCCUAGGGAGCGGCUCCGGCUAGGCGACGGCAGACGCGCAGCGGGGCGGCGGACCNGCGAAGUGGCCGCAACCCGGGUGCCGGUCUGUGAUUAUUGUUUUUGAUAUUGGAGAUUAUCAUCGAAGUGUUUNGGGAUAAACAAUUUUCAGGUGAUGAACAGGGUUUGCUGUUUUGUCGGGACCGGUCAGACCAGGCGGAGGUUGCCGGUCAGACCGGUGCUAUGUGUGCGGUCAGAACGGCCAGGCCCGUGGUCUGACCGGCCGACGCUGUGUUGGUUUCGGUUUCGGGUUGUUUCUUUGGAUAUCCGUGAUUGUUUCAUGGUUAUGGCUUCUAGAUGGAUACUAUACGUAUGUAAUACUGUUGUUUGCUACUAAUGAGUCAAGUUGGAGUUAGCUUGGUCUUGGAAUAUGGUUUCUUUGUUUGUUUCAUGUGUAGGUGACUCGAUGCCUCGGGAGAGUAUUUGCGGUGAUGGACCGGGAGUCGGCUUGGUGGUAAGACGAUGGAGGUUGAUGCAUGUGGUUGAUGGAGAUUCCAUAUGGCAUAUGAUGGAGGUAUUGUGUGCGUAUGGGAUGCGGAGUCGAAUUUGGAAGGAGUCCAAAUUUGAUACGAUUGGUUAUGUAAAGUUUGUUUCUUGUACUAGAGGGUUUACUAAGGUGUUUAGGACGCUUAGUAUGAGUUUGGUUCGUGGCUUUAGCUGCCUACCUCAUGUAUAAAUAGAGGGGGAGCGUGAGGCUUCCCGGUAUCCCUUUUCGUGUCGCGCGUCAUAGCGUUGUGUCUUACGGUUUCGAGUUUAGUCGACGAGCUUUGUAAGGAGUGCUGUUGUCGCAACUUUGUAAACACAGAGAGAAGUAAUAAAGUUGUCAUCUACUCUGAGAGGUCUUCAAUUUGUGUGUCACCGGGUUUCGGCGGUCUAACAGACAACGCAUCGACGGUCUAACCGGCGACACGUCGGCGGUCAGACCGGCGGCAUCGCGGCGGUCAGACCGGCAUCGGCAACAGGAGCUGAUCUCGGCGGUUAGACCGGAGAUUCAAUCUCGGUCAGACCGACGGCAACCAGGCGGUCAGACUGGCGCAAUUACUUCGGUCAGACCGCGAUCCGUCGAAUUUGAGGGUAACUUUUAUUUCUGCUAAAAAUUUUCGGUUUUUGGGUAUACCAACCAUUCACCCCCCUCUGGUUGGCUUAGUUAGUUGUUGUGAUUCGAUAGUACAUUGUUGAGAUGUUACUUGGCUCUUUGGCAUCUUCUUAGCUAUUGGACUGGUGUGUGUACCGACAAUUCACACAAUGGUUACAAGAUGUUUUCACAAUGAGAAAUAAUAAUAACUGAUAUCCUGUGCAAAACCCAGGACAGUAUCUGCACAUCCAUAUUGCUACCUGAAAAUUGCCGCAAAGACAAUGCGAGAAGUACUUGAAAAGGAACUAAAGGAUGCAUAAAUAGUCGGUCAUAUUUGCUGCUGGGAUUGCUGAGUACAUAGCAGCAGCUGCCAAAUGGUAAUCGUGAGCAAGGCCAUUCACAGUUGUAGGCUUGUAGCCUGGGGAAUGACACUGAUCUUACCAGUCUCUGAGAAUCUGACAACCCGGUCUAAGAGUGGGAGGUGUUCGGAAUUUCACCAUGUUUUUACCCUUACGAUUUGUGUUUUGUUCUUUUGCUGACCUUGCUAUCCAUGUAUCAUGUAGAAGACAGACUGAUCUAAAUUGUUUUACCACCAUCUUAGGUGGCAGAUUGCAGUCUAUUGCAAGGUGCUGAAUGUUUCUGUGAUGGUGAUGGGACAAAUGGCAUGAGUGUGUGACUGCGUCACAGAGCUGAAAAAUUGUAAAUAAGAAUACACCAUUUAGCGAAAAUGUCAGGAGCCUGGGUAUCAAAAUUAAGCUUAUUGAUUUCAUUGCAGAAAUCUAUAUUUCUUCUUUAUUCGUGCCUCUUGUAUCUUUGUGUCCCAUUGUUGAUCGCGUACAGAUCAUUUUGUACCAAAUAUAAGAGAGGUUGCAAUGGACCAUUAAUCAAGAGAGGGGUAAGCUAUGGAAUAAAAGAUAUUGUAACAAAUGGCAGUAGAGUAAUUAACUAGCUAGUGAAAUAUUCGGAUUAUCGUUGACUCAAAUACUUAAAAUGUAAAUCUUCUGAGGUAUUGAUUUAGGCAUCGAUUAGAUCUACACGGGAAAAAAGAUCAGGUUGUGUCUUCUUUCUCUUCUUCCACAUCGCUUCAUUCUCGUUCUAGGGUAUGAAUUGCGGUUCACCAGGAAAAAAAAGAGGGAGAAGCGUUGGAAUGGUUGAGAAUUGAACAGGAGAUGAGAUCAGCUCGACAAUGGCAAGGGGAAGCGCAUCGGCCAAACAUGAGGUAAAUCAGGAAGAUUAUUAAUUUUGGAUCAAUAUUAAAAUCUAGGUGCAUGUAUUAUAGAAUAAGUUAUUUAAUUCCUAAAACAUGUAAUUUUUUUGUUAAUUAAUGAAUUCUACAAAGCAUGUAAAUCACUUAAUGGAGGUUCACUGAGCGAACAUGUACUUAAGAAGAAAAAUGUAAAUGAUAAAAAAUAACACGUAGAAAAUAAGGUACUGAUGUGGUACCUACGUACUUAUCGGCGGGCCAAUUCCCUACAUGCCCAUGUGAUUUCACCCAAUUCCUUCUACGCCUCUAAAAUUUGUUUGAUCUCUUAUAUAUCGCUGAGUUUUUAUUUGGAUCCCUUACAUACCCAUUUCGUUAGUUGACCAUUAGUUUGACCAUUAGUUAUUGUAGAAAUUAUUUUAUUGUCCUUGGUAUAUUGUUAAAAGCUAGAAAUGUUUUAUGUGUAAAUUAUUUGAGUUGUGAAAACCAAUAAGGAAUAAAUUAAUAAAUAUUUGUUAUGAAUAUUUAAAAAUAAAACAUUAUUUCAUUAAAAUAAAAAAGAUUUAUUGUAAAAAAAGUUCUGCAUAAAAUUUGAAAAUUACUUUUCAACAAAUAUUUAGUGAAAAAAGAUUCGUUGUGAAAAAACAAAGGGGAUGUAAUUAGUUUAUCACAAAUUAGAAAAUAAAUUUAAAAAUUUUUAAAUAAAUUUCAGAUCAAAUUUGAUGAAUUUCGUAUAUCUUCCCACAAAUUUAAACCUAAAUAACAUUUAGUUUUUGCUCUUAAUUUUCUGGUGAAACUAAUGUAUGGAUUUAAUCAUAAUUUUUAAAAAAUAAAAAAUAAUAAGUUUUAUUUUUUAAGUUGAGCAUUAAAUGAUUAUAUUGCUUGUAUUUUGUAUAAGUUAAUUUUUUUGAUAUGAAAAUUUAUUGGGUAGGUACCACAUAUCGCAGGAGGGCCGGCCGUCUGCCUGUAAGCAAACGACUAUGAAGAUUGCCGAUCUUCGUAGGCAGGACGGCCGUCCGCUUGCGAAGACAAUUUUCGCAGGCGGACGUUAGCUAGUCAGGUCCGUCUGUGAAAAUAGGAAGUGGCCGCCUGCAAAAAAAAAACUUCCGCCUGCAAAGAUAGGUAGAAAAUUUUAAAUUUUGAUACAAUAAUAAUUUGCCCAAAAAUUACUUUUUAAUUAUUUAAUAGAAAUUGAUGCAGGAAGAUUAUUAGUAAUUAUCAAACAUAUGGUACUUAGAAAUCUACAUAUAUUGCAUAAGUGAAAAGUGUUGUCAAAAUAUAUAUAUUACAAUAUUUUUUUACAUUGUCACUUAAAAUACGCCAUCUAGUUACAUUAUGGCAUAGCAGUGUUCCACUCCUGAAGUUCUUGAAUUCGUCACUUGUAGCUCGGGCACCCUCUGGGUUGAAGAAUUCUCCUCGCACAUGACAGCACUCACGGUGGAUGAAGUGGCACAGAUCGCGCUGGACAUUUGUGAUGCCUGUAUCGUCAAAGCUUGUUCGAAGUUCUAUUCUUGGCAACUGCAUGCAUUGAAGAAAAAUAAUAUAUUAGUAUUAUAAAUAUGUGAAGCUGUCUAGUCCAUAGUCUAGAGAUUUACAUCCUCUGCGUUAACCCUGUACCUCCCAUUAACCCUGAGGAAUUCGCACGCAUAAUACCUGCAGAGGACAAUGCCUCUAGGUUGCUUGUGAUACUUCACGACAUAUCAUAGAAGAAAAUAGUUAAAUUUUGCAAUUAGUGAAAUAAUUGGAAUACAUUAAGUGAGUGAAGUCUUACCGGCUAAUAUGUAUGUACUAGCAGCUUCUCCCUUGUUUGGGUCUGUUCUCCACCCUAGAACUUGUAGUAGUUGUAUGCACUGUAUGGAUGUCGUACCAUUUCGCAUUAAGGAGGAUAUUUAAUUAUAAUACAUUCAUAUAAAAAAUGCAGAGUCCGAAUCACUUAUUACUGUAAGAUUAUUAGAAAUUCUUUGUAUAAGUGGUGACUGUAAUCGAGACUGGUCCUGGACUCCGAGUUACACUCGAAGUCAACUUGGUUUCUUUUCUUUCGCCCAAGCUAGUAUCUCUGCAAACGAAUACACACAAAACUCAUUGUGUAGCAACGUUUAUUCGAAUAUAUAACAAGUAAAUCUAAUGUAGAACAUAUGCACCUUUGGUGGAAUAAUAUAUAAGGUAGUCAUGGUUAUAUCCGAGCGAGUUGUGUCCUCAUCAGCUAGCCAACUGAUGAACCGCAAAAACAAUAUCAAGUCUUGUGCAAUUGGCUAAAUACAUUAGUGCUCCAAUGGCAUUUAAGUAGGGAAUUUUGGGUCCCAUUAUUUCCUCAUUAUCUUCCUUGGGUUUUAAUGUGUCCUUAUAAGCUUCUAUGGAUCGAACUACCAUGGGGGUUUUCAAAGGAUGGCAUUUGUUCAUAUUGAAGUUACCAAGGACUGUCUUUGUGUAGGGAGAUCGGUGCAUAAAUACUCCUCCAUGGAGGUGCUCGAGUUGCUGGCCCAAGCAAAACUUGGUUUUCCCCAAGUCCUUCAAUCAAGCUCGAUAUUAAGACAAGCCAUUGCUUAUUUAGGAGAGAAUCUAUUCUAUACUGCUGAGUUUGUUCGAGUUCAGCGAUUUGCCAUCGACAUUGUCUUUUAUUUAAUGUCCUCUAUGGUGGCAAUGAUAUUUAGAUCAUAGACAUAGACCGAGAUGAUAUACAAAAUCCAUUCAGGGAUUUCUUUGAAAACACAUGUGGACAAUCAUAAUUGUUUGAAUAACCUCUCUUCUAGAGAUAUCUACUUAACUCUUUGAACCACAACCUUCCGGAUUGUUUCAAUCCAUACCAUGAUCGCUGCAUGUGCACACUAUACAUGUUGCAGUUUCCUUUUGAAUUUGUGAUCUUGUGUCCUUUAGGGACUCUCAUAUAAAAUUCCAAAUCUAACGACCCAUAAAAGUAUGCCGUCAAUACAUCCAUCAACUGCAUGCAUGGGUCCACAUCCUUCAUGAACAGAACAUAUGGAGGUGAUUAAUUCUCAUUGUUCUAAGCUAAAAAAAAGUAGAGAAGAGAUGGGAUCACAUAGCUAAUUUUUGGGAGGCCUGCAUGCCGUAGGCUAGCGAAACAACCAGGACCACCCAAUUAGCAUCUAUUUAUAGCAACUGUAUAAGAGCCCCUCGACGAAAAAGUCUACCAACGAUCUCCAUGCUGCACCGUGCAUCUAUGCCUAGUUUUCUUACCCUCCCUCCACCAUAAAUACGCACCCAUCUGCAACAUAGAUCACCAAACAUAUCGACCAAUCCCUCUUCCAGUCAAGAAAAAAGGAAGAUUACACCAACAAACAAACUAGCUAGCCAAUGGCCUCCUUGUCAUCUUUUCCGGCUCGCCGUGGCGGUGGCGGCACUAUUGGUUGUUGGCUCAUGUGCCACUGAGCUCACCUUCAAGGUCGCUAAGGGCUCUAGCGCCAAAAGUCUAGAGCUUGUCACUAAUGUUGCCAUCUCUAAGGUGGAGGUCAAGGAGAAGGGCGGCAAGGACUGGGUGGCGCUCAAGGAAUCGUCGUCUAACACCUGGACGCUCAAAAGUGAGUCGCCGCUCAAGGGCCCCUUCUCUGUCCGCUUCCUUGUCAAGAAUAGCGGCUACCGUGUCGUCGACGAUAUCAUCCCUGAAAGCUUUACAGCUGGCUCUGAGUACAAGAGUGGAAUCCAACUCUAAGUAACAGACAUGUGUACUCUUGUUGGGUCACAUGCGAAAUAUGAACAUCUAAAUAAUCCUCUCUUAAAAGAGAUCGUGUCAUGUUUGAGUGAGCAAAUAAUUAUUAUUUUUGGUUAUUUUGUUGUAAUAGGCCGAUGGCAACAUAAGGCAUACAUGUGUCCUUCCAAAAUAUUGCUGCGGAGCUGUAUGUGAGCAUUGUUUGGAAUAUAUGUCAUUUAUAUAAGAUAUAUGGAAAAAAGUAUAUUUGGUCAACUUUCAUUAAGAUGAUUGCAUCUGUUUGAUUUUCCAAAGUUUUAGUACAUACUUAUGUCCAAACCAAUGUAAUCCAUUUCACUUAUUUUAGCUUGUCAAAAAAUUUGUAAAGUCACAUCUACACUUUUUUUUCAUUUUCUAAAAACAAAUAGUUGAAUUGACUAUACUAUGACCUAAAACUAUAAGCAUUAAGCAUACUGGUACAUCGUUUACCUUACGAGAGAAUACAUUAUAUACCACUGUGUUUGUCACAGGUCUAUAGUUUGCUAUUGACUUUGUCACGUUCUACAAUAUGCCAUCGACUUUUCCUUAACUUCUACGACUUACCAUCACCAUCUGGUUAUCCUUCGUGAGAAAUGUAUAAUUUUAUCCAAUGACCAAAAUACCCCUAUAACAGAUACUUCCAAAAUUUGGAAAAAAAAUUUGAAAUAUCAUAUUGUAAACAUCCAAAAUUUGGCCAAAAACUUAAAAUCUGAUAUUUUAGAAUUUUUGUCUACAUUUUGGAAGUUUUUGUCCUGGAGGUAUUUUGGUCAUUAGAACAAAAUUGUACAGUACUAAUGGAGGCUAACCGGACAGCAAUGGUAAAUCAUAGAAGAUAAGCAAAAGUCGAUGGUAUAUUAUAUAAUGUGACAAAGUCAGUGGCAAAUCUUAGACAUGCAAUAAACUCAAUGGCAUUGCCGGUCUGAUUGGCAGAGUCCGAGUCAGACUCCAUUUUCAUCGGGUCUCUGGUUUCCUUACUUGGGAAGGCAUGUUUCGGAUUUCCAUUGGUUUCUAUCCCGAGUUGGACAUGGAGAAGGGCUUAUAGAGGGCAAGACCAACCCCUAUAUAAGGAACAAGGCCGGUUCAAUUGUUACCUGACAAACACACAAUCAAUAGAAUCGUUCUUUUACUUUAAUUUUAGCCAUGUUUUCUACUUUACCCUAAUUUUAGUUCAUCUUUAUCGAUUUGCACCGUUUGCCCAUAAAGAGGUGCCGUACUCAAAAAAUCAGGUUUGUCCUAAAAACCUUCCGUUUGCCCACAAGAUGGAUAGUUAUCCUCAUAUUGAUUUAAAUCGGCCUAGAGGCUGAUUUUGAUCUCUAAAUCGGCUUCGCUAGCCGGUCUAGCUUUCUUUUUACAAAACCCAUCUUGAUUUGGUUGUUUGGCUAGAUCGGGGUAGUUGCUGACUCCAUAUCCCCGUAAGGCAUUUAGGUGCUGCGAUCGUGCUUGUUGACUUCUCACAAAAAGUUGCCAACAGUAACAACAAAGAUAAAUAAUGUGAUGGAAGAGGGGAAUGUGCAGCACACCGUUUCAAAAUUGAUGAUUGAUAGUUGGUGACGAUUUCAUGGCUACAACAUCUCCAAUGUUGUACUCUCUCCAUCCUAUAAUAUAAGAAAUUUUAGAGAGAUAUGACACAUUUUAAGACAACGAAUCUAGAUGUGUCAUAUCCCUUAUAAUAUAGGAUGGAGGGAGUAUAAGUGAAUGUUAUCCAAUAAAUUCAACCAACUUUCGUAAUCAUACGUGUACCUUUUUAACUUUUUUAUGCACACACGCACAAAAAAAAAAGUGGUUACGUGUAAACAACUAUAGACACCACGAUCGAUUUGAACUAGAGCAGAUGGAGUGAAGGACUCCAUAUGUCCACCACCUACCUCUGAAAUCGAGUCAAAAAGAUAUGCGCUAAUUCAGAUAUGACAACCUAUUGUAACUAUUAAGCAGAGUAAAUAAUGUAUUAUCACCUCAGGAUUUAAGCAUAUUAAACAGGGCAGCAAAUCAUCACAUCAUAGCUAUGUUCUCAAACAUCUCAAGAUUCUAUGAAAAAUACUCUGUUCUUCCUAUGAUAUGUGUCAUGCAAUGCAAUCCAUGGGCUUGUAAAGACCUUUCUCUAUUAUUUAUUGCAGCAUAUAUGAUAAUAAGUGGUGUAAACAAACAACCAACUUCUCCAAAAGUUCGAGGGCCUUUCACUAUAUAUAUACAUGAGUUUCUCUGCAUUUCAAAUAAGCUGUACACCAAGGACAUCGUCUCUCUCAUUUACCAAUAUGUUUAGUUCUCUAGAUACUAUAACUAGAUUAAGAUUACCGGAUUAACUUAAAAAUCUGGUAUGCUGAUGUCACGAGAGCUUGCAAUUAAGAAAUACAGAUAUUAAACUAGUGUUCGACCAUAGAAGUACAAGCCAUUCAUGGACUAUAUAAAUAGGCCAAGGCUAGUGCUCAGCCAAAAGCUGAAGAUACUUUAACUCGUAUUCUAAUAUUUAUCAUAUUGAAAACCCUUCCAACAUGCAUGUGCUGCCUUGUGUAUAAACAUCUUCAGAUACGUACACAUGAUUAACUUAACUAGUUUAGGCUUAAGAGGCAUUGGGAAUCCGGGUGUAGCUACUCCCACAUAGUGCAUUACGUAAGUUGCAUUCUUCACUUGUUCGCAGUGAGUUUGGUGUUGUUUCAGGAUUCACGCUGGACCAUUCCUAUUAAAAACAACAAACAUUCAUUCAUAUUGAUGUGUAUAUCAGAGUUGCCAGAGUAAGUGGUUUGGCAUGCAUCUACAAAGUAUUGUUUACACAGAAAUUUUGCAACUCCUAGGCAAAGUUCUCAUAUCCAUCAGACUCUUUGGUGAUUUCCAAAAAACUAGAAUUCCAAGCGUGCUGGGGGAUUUCGUAUAUACCAGAAUUUCCAUUCUUAAAUCAAACCUUGUAGUCAAUUUAUUUUAUUAAAGCAGAUAGCUUGAGAUUUGGUCGAUGGAUAAAUACCACAACAGGCUAAUCUGUCAGAAAAAUGGCACUGCGAGCCGACAUCUAGUAUGCAAAUAUAAUGCUUUUUUCAUUUAAUUUGGCUUGGCUAGCAUCAUGCUAAUUAGGCCAGGGAAACACUAGGAGCAUUUCACUAGAUCGAUACGUGGCCGGGGGGAAGAUCAACCAUGAAGAUGAAGCGAGGCCGAAGGGAUUGAUACUGAACCAAAACGAAUUAAUACCACUUAUUUCUGGAAAAAAACGACUUGCACUUUAUAAUUAUCUGCAGUAUAUGUAUAUAUUCUGGCUCUUGUGCUAUUAUUCAGGUUUGUUCAACGUUUUGGACCAUUGUCCAUUAGAUGAUUGGUGAUGGACUGUUUGGAAUCUAGCCGAUUCAUCAAGCGCGAGUUCCCCCGCUUCGCCCCCAAAAUCAAUCACAGCAACGACAUCAUCAUCGCAUAAACAGAACAAUACAAACAACACAAACAAGAAAUCUACCGGAUCCGUCCGCGGGUCGCCGCCGCGGCCGUUAGAUCCGACGGAGAAGUCAUCGCCAUCGCCAGAUCUGCGGGAGAAGGUUGGGGCGAAGGGGGAGAUCACUAGAUCUGCUCGCCGGAAACGCCGUCGCCGCCUCCUCCGCAGGAUAUGCCCAUGGGAGCACCGAUGCAACCGCCGCUGCUACGGUAGAAGCUUGGGCGCGGAGGAUGAGGAGGAGGGGGUAGAGAACCGCCAGAUUCAGUCGCCGAAAACGCCACCACUAUCGCCUCCGCCGGAUCUGCCCGUCGGAAACGCCACCGCCGCCAACUCCGCAAGAUCCGCUAGCGGGAGCUACCGACGCCACUGCCACUGCCUUCACUGGAUCCACCCAUCGGAUAUGCCACCGCCACCGAUGGAUCUGCGGGAGGGGGCUGAGGAACGCCGAAUCUGGCCCGCAGGAGCUGCUGACACCAUUACCACCACGAGGGGAGGAAAGGGGUGACUGAGUGAGAGGGGGAGAGAGACGGGUGAGAGUAGGGCAGCGAAUGAUAAGGUCGCCCCCCGUCACCUCCCACGCGUGCCUUUAUCCACUCGCGUGCGGCUCUCUCUUGGCUCGGCUCGUUUGAUAGGUGCGUUUUUUUUAAAUACCGGCACCGAUAAUAUAUUAUAGCUGGCGGUUUUUAAUAUAUUAUAAUUGUCGGUUUUUUUAAAAAAAAUAGCACGUAUAGUAUAGGUAUUGGUUUUUCUAUUAAACCGGCACCUAUAUUCACUUAAAGGUGAUGGAUUUUUUUUUUGUAUUUUCAGCCUGUGGAGGUGGGCAAAAUACUAUAGGUGCUAGUUUUAGCUGUUCCGGUGCCUAUAGUGCCAAUAUGUAUGUGCUUUUUUAUACUAGUGAUGCUGAGGGUUUCAUACCAGAACUUCCAUUCUAAAAUCAAUCCUUCCAGUCAAUUUAUUUUAUUAAAGCAGACAGCUUGAGGUUUGGGGCAAGGAUAAAUACCACACCAGGCUAACCGAUCUGAAAAAUGGCACUGUGAACCUACAUCUAUAUAGUAUGCUAAUAUAAUGCUUUUCUCUUUGGCAUAGCUAGCAUCAUGUUAAUUAGGCCUGGAAAGCACCAGGACGUUCACUUGCACCAUGGAAAGAAGUCAACAGCCUUCACUGUAUGGUUAUGCCGAUUCGGUUUUUUUUACGUGUCUACUUGGUGGGUAAGGAUCGAUAGGGUGCUCCGGAGAGGAAGCAUUCCACGAAGAUGCUAGAUGAAUGCUCCGGUUAAAUUGCUGGAUGAGGAUAUCCAUCUUUGCUAAUCUCUAUCAUUAGUAAUUAUUUGCAAUAAUUAAUAUAUUUUGUUGUUAAUUGGUAAUUAACUUGUCAAAAAUAGUAUUGAUAAGAUAUAAUUAGUCUAUUUUGUUGUUAAUUAGUAUAAACUAUGACUAUAUUAAUGAUAAUUAAUAUAUUUUAUUAUUAAUUAAUAUGUUCAAUCCAUUCUUAUCCACCCAAUCAAACAAGAAAUUGGAUCAUCAUAUCUAUUAGAAAAAAACUGACCAUAUCUGUGUAAAUAUGGAUGACCAAACGUGGCCGGGGAAGAUCAACGAUGAAGAUGAUGUGAGGCCGAAGGGAUUGAUGCUGAACCAAAACGAACCCACUUAUCUCAGGAAAAAACGGCUUGCACUAGAUAAUUAUCUGUAGACUAUGUAUAUAUUCCGACUGCUGCUUGUGUUGGUAUGCCGGUUUGUUCAACGUUUACAGAUUAAUUAUUGUUUCGUACCAUUGUCCAUUAGAUGAUUGGUGAUGGAAUGUUUGGUACGUAUAAACUUUUAUACCUUCAAAUAUAUUUUUGACAAACAGCUAACUUCAAAUAUUUAACCAAUGUUUUAUGAAUGAGGCAUCCCAAUUAUUUUUUAGAUAAUGGAAAUGGAUUAUAUCUCCGGCUUCGGUCAUAACACACAAAGUCAUAAGUUUAAUACAAAAGGUAAAGAUAAAAAUAAAUCAAAAUGAGAAAUAAGAUGAUGGGACAAUUCCCCAACCCCUUUAUUAUUAACUAGCGUUAAACCACACAGAUUUCUAGCUAGCAAUUCUAAUGGAACUACGCCACCCAUAGUGAAAUAAGAGACCCUUGGCUACUGAUUGCAAAAAUAUAGCACCAUUACGCGUGGUAUCAUGUUCCUCUUGUGGUAGCAUCGUAGACCAAAAAUGGAUCCAAUUGGAAGACAUGAAGAUAAUCUACAUAGGGUUAGACAAUUAUUUAGCAUUAAAAACUUUAUCAUUACGACAACUCAUAAUUGGCCAACUUACAACACUAGCUCCGAUUAGAAUCAAUUUUUUAAUGGACCUAGGUACCCCUCUAAGCCAAUUACCAAAAAAUAUUUUUGACGUUACCGGGUGAAGGGAUAUUAAAAACAAAAAAUACACAUAUGUAACAAACUGAGCAACUUGAUACUUGUCAACGGUGGAUACCCGUAGACUGGAUAAAUUGAGUAUUGGAGACAAGAAACAAGGAUUAUACUGGUUCAGGCCCCUCGUGAUGUAAUAGCCCUAAUCCAGUUUAUACGAGAUUAAUAUAGAAAACCACAUAGUACAAAGGGUAUAGAUGAAUCCAAUGAUACCGACGAGAUCCUUGUUGAGAUUGAUCAACGUGAUCUCCCGGCGACUUCGCCUUGAGUUCUUUGGCUUCGUAAACUAUGGUGGGUGUGUUGGCGUUAUGAUUUGAUGAUCCCGAGCCCUUCCGGGAGUGUGCCUUUUAUACCAUAAGUUGCCUUAGUCUCCAAGUAGAACUCGGAGACAAUGAACCCUGCACGAUAUAGAAUAAUCUCUAUCCUCUCCUAGUAGGACUCUGAUAAUCUACAUGCUGUGAGGAUAUUUUCCAUAAUACCUUGCAUAUUUCUUUAUCGCAUAGGGAAACAUAUCGUAGGAUAUGAGAUAUGCCAAUCCGGCAUAUUUGGUAAAUUGUAGGAUAGGAGGUAUGUCUUAUCCGUAACCCUGAAAAUACUCAAAGAAAAGAUGUUGGAUUAUCUCUUGUGGAUAACAGAAAGAACAAUGUUUCUUCCUCCCCCCCCACCCUUUUCUUAUGGCCAGGUUUUAUUUCGUUAGAAUUACUUUCUUAUGAAAAAACCACAUACACACCUUUAUCUUUAGUGGAACCUUUAAGUCUCAUAUAAUUCCUUUUAUCCAAACAUUAGAGUUCAUAAUCAUAUAGAUUUGACUGAAAAUUGGCCAUUCUUAUGGAGCGACCAUACGAAACAGUCCUUUUCAUUUUUGUUUGACGGAGUCAUACAAAUUAGCUAGCCUGAGGAUCCCAAUUACUUAAUCCACAAUUUUCUUAGAGAUUAACACAAAUGUAAAAUGGCCUAUAUUACAUAUAGUACGUAGGGCAUGUUCACUUUGAUGACAUUUUCAACCUUACCAAAUUUUGGUAAAGUUGCCAAAAAAGUGGCUACAUUUAGUUUGUUGCCAAAAUUUGGUAACUAUAUAAGAAAUCCUACCAAAAUUUUUGGCAAGUUGUCAAAAUUUUGGUAAUGCCAAAAUUUAGUAAGGUUUUUUUAGCAUCAAAGUGAACAGACCCGUAAUGACUAUGAGAUAUCAAUAUAUAUACAUAUAUAUAUAUAUAUGUAUAUAUAUAUAUAUAUAUGUAUAUGUAUAUAUAUAUAGGAGUUGGAUAAUAUGAACCUAGGUGCAUCUGCACCUCAAUCCCACAUGUGACACGUGUCUAUUUUUCGUUGUAGCUGAUCAUCAUUUUCACCAAAGCUCCUACAACUUGUACCUACCCAGCCCAAACUCUUAUAGGGAAAAUUUUAGGCAGGUACACAAUGAUGCUGUAGUCAUGCAUUUCUCACCCACCCAUGUACUAGUACUAGUCUGCAACUGUAUUCAUGUCUUUUCACUAAUGUGACCGUGAGAGAGAAUGAGAGAGAGAGAGAGAGAGAUGAACAUGUAGUUUUAAUAGAUCUCUUGGCUACAAUCACAUUACUCCAUGUGAUUAGCCAUCAAAUAUACGUUGAUUUUUUUAAUUAAUCUGACCACCUUGUUUUGUAUGUCCGGAAAUUAAUCUAUAUCUGGUUUUAUUCGGACAUGAUAUAUCAAGAUGAAUGUCCAAUCACCAAACAAAUACAAUAUAUCCGAUGUCCAAGAAUGACAUUGUGAAAAUAAUAUAUCAUUUGGCAUAAAUUAAAAUAAAAAAUACAUGAUUUUUAUUUUUACAGAUAUAUGCUACAUAACAAAGUAUAAUUUCAUUAAUUGACAAAGAAAAUAAUAUACACUGCAAUUUGUUGACACCGAAAAUGAAAUACAACGAAAAUAUCAUUUUGAAAAGUCAUGUCUAAAAAAAAGAUGUCGCAAAAUGAUAACAUAUAACUUGACAUGUAUUGAAAUUAAAAAAAAAAUCACAUGCGUGUUAUUUCCAAAAUGGUCAUGUGUACUAAAUUUCCAUGGAUAACAAGAGAAAAGAAACAAUAUUCAAAUGAUGAGUAAAUACUACAUGAUGUGUGGUCAACUACCUCUCAUCUGUUCUUUCUCUCUCUUUGCUCAGGAAGUACAUGUCCCAUGUCAGAGCAACACAUGCAUUACGUACCUCCCUGACAUUUUCUCGUGUAGACAAUCUUCAUUAGUGAAAGGUCCAUUUAGAAAGCACGCAUCUUGGAACGAUUGAAUGGUUGUGAUUCUGGGUGCAGAUGAACCUCGGUUCAUAUCUGCUUUUAUAUAUAUAUAUAAACUGUGCAAACGAAUAGAAAACUUCUAACAAAUCUCGAUGGCCUUGCUAGCUAGGUGAAUCAUCAUAUACUUCCAUCUUUUUUUUUCCUUUGACAAUUUACAGCUUACUAGCUUACAGGAUUGGGAAAUCUCUGGAAUUUUCAUAUAGCUGCACAAAUUGUGGCACAGAGCUGCAUUCACAGUUCUAGAAGCAAAUCAUCAUAGUCAAUAUGCAAGAGUGGCCGAUUAGCAGUUACUCCGACAGUUGGAAGUAGGGUACUAGUACAUUCUGGUUUUUGAGCAAACAGUUCUAAUUGGCCAUUGGUCAGUUCUUUUUUUGUUCAUGUUGUUACUGUAGCUAGAAAUCCAAAACGCCACCAAAAUGGAUAUAUACCAAAAAAAAUGUGCAAUUCUUAAGUUGCAGUCACCACUGAAUCUGAAGUCAACUAAACUUCAUACACUAGGCUCAUAUUCUUGCUAAUAUACUUCAUACAAAAUAGGGGCACAUUCUUACAUAGGAGUAGCCAUUUUUAAUUCAACUAGGAAGAUAGCCCGUGUAUUCACGCGGGCAUGUGUCGUACAUUAUGUUUGAACAUCUACAAUAUAUGAUUUCUCCAUAAAUUGUUUUCAUUAGCAUUGCUUUCAUAAUUGUCUAACCUAGUUAUUAGUUAUCUUUAUAGCAUAUCAUAUUUAAUUAAUUCCUACAAGCAAUUAUUUAUAAUAUUCUUCAUCAUCUACUAAGUAGGUAGACAUAUUUUGUGUUAGAAAACAUGUAUAGAAAAUUAAGUGUAAAAUGAAAAGUAAGAUGUUUUUUAAUUGAAUAUAGGUUGUCAUUGUUUAUUGACGGAUGAAUUGGGUGGGAUAUGAGGCUCUACUAAAUGCAUGGGUUUAUAUUAUUGUUUAAUUUGAGAAAGAACCCAUAUGUGAACAUUCCAUGUAGAGAGUGUGUGAGACUCCAUGCAACCUAGCGCAAAUAAUAUUGGAUGAAGAAAUAUGGUUGUGCAAUAUAUUAUUUUGAUAGAUGAUGUAUUAUGAAUACACGCUUGUCUUUUAAGAUGAGAUAGAACUAAUGGUUGGAAAUAAUGGGCUUAUCGGUUUAAAAGGCCUAGGAGGAUUUAUGGGGUAAUAGGUGGCGACUUUAUAUAAAAAAGAAACCAUUAUCUAAAAUUGAUUAGAUGAUAUAUAAAAUAAAAUUAUCAGUGUAGCUUAAAAUUAUGCUCUUUUUAAUAUUUGUUUCUCUCUAUAGUUUUGUAGCUGAAAAUAGGGAGGAGACUGGAGAGAAACGAAUAGCGUAGAACUCAAAUCAGAUAUGAGAAAGGGUUCGCAGUGCAAUGGUGUUAUGUGAAUAUGAUUGGAGAGGGAGGUGGAUGGUACAUUGUUUUUUUUUAAUAAAAAAUCUUCGUAAACAAUCUAAGUGAGAACCUAUGAUUUGUUGUUUUCUCAUUAUAAGGAUCUUUAAGACAUGACAUGUGGUGGCUUAAGUUUUUUUAUAAAGAGAAAGGCAAUCUAAUAGUUAAAAAUAAUGGGUCAUCAAAUUAAGUGGAAACCGAUGGAUAGAUAUAUACUUUAUUUUCUCUUGGAAUUUCAAUUUUUUCAAAGUUUUAAAAUAUCAUACAUGGUGACUUGAGAGUGCUACAGAGCACGCUUAAUCGAUCUUUACUAUGUAAAACGAUUCAAGAAUAUAUAAUAUACGUUUUCAUGUUUUUCAAUGUUUCGUUGUUAUUUGGUAAGGAGAUUUUAUUUUUAUUGAGGUAUAUUUAAUGCCUUCAUCAGUUUGAAAUAUUUAUGUCUUUAAAUCCAAUUGUUAAAUUAUAACUCGACUGAUUUAAAUGAAAAUUGAUGAAAUUAUAAGUCUGCCAAUUUAAUUGAAAAUUGAUGGUUAGAUUUGUUUUCUUCGGAUCGCCGGCCGAGUCUCCCCCAGGCCCACGGCUCGGACCGGGCCCCCUGGAGCCACCACCCCUGCCGGAGCCGCCGGUCCGACUGCCGCCCGUGGUGGCGCCGCUGCUACCCGUGCCGUCGCCACCGCCACCACCGGAGGCGCCUCGGCGGGACCGACCCCUACAGCACCGACGGCCGACAUCACAGCCAGGAUAUUCUCCCGGUCGCGGUCGCUGCAGAGGGGGAGGAUCCCGUCCGGAAUCAGCAUUUGCUCGACGGUGUCCAGGCCCAGCACCGCCGAACCACCGUCUUUGCGUCCUCCUCGCCCCAAUCCCAGCGCUCACCUACGUGGGUGCACAUGGGAUCGUUAUACCUGGUGUACUCCCACGCGCCGCGGGACUGCUCCUGGAGAGGCGUGAUGCGACGGCGGAAGUAGUCGCCGAACACCAUCGCCGCCGUUAAGCCCUAGCUUCCCAGGCCCUUGAGGCGGUCCCGCACCGCGUCGUACUCCUCGCCCAGCUCUGAAACUGCCAACCACGCGGCAGAUCGUUCGGGAGGGCCGGUAGGGAGCCGAAGUCGCGGACGAUCCGGCAGCGCAGUGUAGAACCAAUCCUUCUUCCAAUCCUCCCACUUCUUGCGGAGGUCACUAUCGAUGUACUGCCCCGCCACGCCUGGCCGGGGCUGGAAGUAGCAUCCUCCCCCUACCGCGCCUUGCAGCAGCUGUGGGACGAGGAAGGACUGGAACAGCCGCAUUGUCGGCCGCACCCCGACGAACAUCUUGCACAAGUGCGCGAAGAUGGCCAGCGUCAUCAUAGCAUUGGGGGCGAGAUGCAAGGCAUGAAUUUCGUAGAAAUCCAAGACCUCGUGGAAGAACCUGGAGAAUGGCAGGAUCAACCCCACCAUGGUGAAGGAUAGGAGGUGCACGGAUCGCUCUGGGUACCGUGGCUGCGGCCGCGUCUCCCCUACCCUCACGGCGGCAUCCUCUGGAAUGAUCUUGCGGAUGAGGCUAAGGUGCCUCUCCGCCGUAAUGCGCGAUGCCGGGAGGACGGCGUCGCCAGCAUCUUGGGCCAUGAUGGCCAGCGGGAAACGGCGAGGAGUUUGGCGUACGGAAUAGGAUGGAGGGAGAGAAGCACUAGGGCUUGAGGGGCGAGUAUGCGGGUGUGCAGUCGGCGAGAGGAAGGAGACGAACUCUCCGCCUCCCUUCCCUUUUAUCCCCACCUCGGCCGCGCUCGCCUCCUCGUUUCACGCCCCUGCGGUUGCCCCAUCGAUUCCUGCGCCUACGGUUGCCUCCUUGAUUCUCGCGUCCACUCAUCACGUCGCCCCACUGAACCCGCGCCCCGCGGUUAGUGCGCUUGUCAGUGGCGCACUCGGCGCGGGACAUGCGGUGUUCACGAGCACGGCUAGGCGGGCCCGCCGUCGGUCCCUUCGCGUGCCUAGCAGGCGGGGGAGUUGAGGCGGCGUUGGGUGACGAUUCUGGGUGUGAUCUGGCAGACCCCCCGACUUUUGCGCCCUAAGUGCCCCAGUGAACGGCGCACUUAGUGGCGGUCAAAUCGCCAUUAUGGCUGAUGCGCCAGCCUGGCCACCCGACGGCGGCUGCCUAGUUUCCCCGCCGGACCCACAACCACAGCACGGGAACUCAUGAGGAACCACGCCAGACCGCCCUCAGGGGGCCAAUGUCCGACGCGGUGCCGGGGGCUACUGUCGGUGAUAUGGGCCCGGGGGUAUGCAAAGUACGGGGGAGUUACCUUCAAAUGCAGCCACGUGGCCCUACAACUUGGCCCUCCCCCCACACCUCGGAAGACGCAAAAGCAGCCAGGGGGCCUCGGGGUGCCACGUCACGCCCCUCGGGCCCUCGCGCUGCCACGCCCCGAGGCCCUCGCCCAGCUGCCAUGUGGCGAGGGGAGCGCGCGGGGAGGAGACUCAGGCUGAACCCCCAUCAAUGCGCGGCGCCCCAACCGUUUGUCACCGCAUUUAAUGCGGUAAGGGCGGACGUGCGGUGCGGCCUGAUUGACCUACGUCAAUCAGGCAUGACCAGACUGUGACCAGCCCGUCGCCGGUCACGUCCGGUCGGACGGGCAGCCGUGUCCCCACGUUCGCCCCUGUACCCGGCGGAGUGGAGGCAGGUAUGCCCCGUCCCAUCAAGGCAUCAUCCGGAGCUCCCUCCACGUGAGAAGGACCGUCACAAGUCUUCGUUCAUUUAAGAGGGAAUGACAGAGCUGUCCUCCGUGUCAGGCGGGAGGUGGCGCUGGGUCCCACUCGAGGACGGACGGCCGCUUAGCUUCUGGGCGAAGGCACAGAUCGUGGUCCGGUCUGAGUAGAGUGGGUCCCCCUCCCGUGAUAGAGUAGGUAGAAGCGGUGCAUGUAGUAUCCCCUUGAACUAUAAAAGGAGGACCUUGCCCACCGAGAAAAAGGGACGACUCCUAGUAGGCCUAAACCCUAGGAGAAGAAGAGCGAGAGUGCUCUCCAGAGUUUAGGAACCUUUGUAACACUCAACCAUAAAUCCCAUCCAUAGGAGUAGGGUAUUACGCUCCAUAGCGGCCCGAACCUGUAUAAUCUUGACACCGUGCACGAUCUCGAAGCACUCAGGGCAGAUAAACGAUUUCGUCAAGCGUGCCUUUUCCCCCGGCCAAACUCACAAAAGGGGGAUCUCACUGUCACCCGCUAGAGAGGAUCAUUCCUCGACAGCACUAGACCUCUACUCCUCCCUGAGCAUAGUCCCGGUCCUCACUAUUGACCAAGGCUGACCUCAAGUCACCUGCACACAAUCAGACAAAACAACCGUUCCUGGGCACAGAUAUCACAACCUGACCCACAUUAGUCACACGCACUCACACCAACAUUCACAUAAAUUCUCAAACCAAUUCAUUGAUUAAAUCAUCUGCACAGCCAAUUGUUCAUCACAAAUAUAUUAAUCAUGACAAUGAUUUCAUUAAUCAAUCAUCCCCGAAUUGCCUCCAAAUACACAAAUCGAUCAUAUCAAAUACAUCACAAAAUCUUAAAAAAAUUACAUCACAACUUCUACAAAAUUCAUCACAAAUCCACAUCGCAUACAAAUCAAAUACAUCACACAACAAUCUCAGAUCCAAUCAAAUACAUCACACAACAAUAUCAGAUUCUCCCAAAAAAAAAACCGCCAAAGUAGGCGCCGCCUCGCCGCGCGCCGCGCCGCUGCCGCGCUGGCCGGCCCUCCACGCCCCGCUGCCCUCGCGCCGGCCUGGCAUCCUCGCCCUGCCGCUUCACUCCGGCCUGGCAUCCUCGCCCCACCACUGCAGUAGAGAGGAGAAGGAGAGGAGAAGGAGAGGAAUAGAUAAGGAGAGGAACAGAUAAGGUUGAGGAGAGGAGGAGAGAGGAGUUAAAGGAGAGGAGGAGAUACCUCGAUCUGAUCGGCACGCCUCUCCGAUCUCCGCGUUGAUCUUUUUUCCCGGUUGGUAACACCAACCGGGACUACAAAUAGAUUUUUAGUCCCGGUUACCAACCGGGAGUAAAGCGUAUGGCGAUCUUUUUUCCCGGUUGGUGUUAUCAACCGGGACUACAAAUAGAUCUUUAGUCCCGGUUGGUAACACCAACCGGUACUUAAAGAUUGGAAAGUACCCCUGGAGUUUUUAAACCGGGACUAAAGAUAUUUAUAGUCCCAAUUUUUAAUACAACCGAGACUAUUGUGAAAUCUGGUCGACCGACCAAAGAUGGUUUCUCCACCAGUGUCAAGCACACCCUCCAAAUCUCCAUCAGCGCUUGCCCAAGGACAUCCUCUCACCUGUAGCUCUCAUGUUGCAUGACUGUAACAACAUGUGCACCUGCCAAUUAAAAUUAAAUUGAAUUUAAAGUGCACUCUUGUUUGAAGCACGAUCUACACCGACUUGUAGGAUUAUUUCUCCCAAGGCCAUGUGCUCCUUUCCACCUAUGCCUCAUCAAUUCGCCAUCUCUUAUUCCUGUCAAAUUUAUUUCAUCGACUGCCACCACCGUUCGAUAUCCAGCUAGGGGCGCACUACCAUAAUAAUUAGCAUCAGCACCAUCUAGCCAUGUAUGCAAACCCAUGUCCCAGAUAUAGAGCCACAACGGGGCAGCACCUGGGACCCUCCAUCACCGCCAUGGUGCCAUCAACAUUGAACUGUUGAUUGCCCCUCUGCCAAGAAUACUAUAUAUGCAUGCCACACGGUGCCCCUCAGUGCCUUGCUCAUCAUUCCUAACCAUUUUCUCGGCCACCCAUCUAUCUUCCACUGGCAUAUCCACCCCCCUCCCAAUUUGAUCAUGCAUGGGUCCACAUGCUCAAUGAACGGAUCAUGAGGAGGUGACUAAUUCUCAUUAUCUAUAAGUUAAAAUGGCUGCUUUUUGGGAGGCCUGCAUGCCCUACGCUAGCGAAACAACCGGGACUACCAACCUUGCAUCUAUUUAAAGCAAUUGUAUAAGAGUCCUUCAACGAAAAUGGCUGCCAACGAUCUCCAUGCUGCACCACACAUUUUCUUACCACCCCCUCCCCCCUCCACCAUAAAUAUGCACCCAGCUGCAACAUGGAUCACCGAACACAUCGAUCCAUCCCUCUACCAAGCAAGAAACAAGAAACAUUACACCAAAAAACUAGCUAGCUAGCCAAUGGCCUCCAUGUCCUCCUUCCGACUUGCCGUGGCGGUGGCUGCACUAUUGGUCAUUGGCUCACAUGCCACAGAGCUCACCUUCAAGGUUGCUGAGGGCUCUAGCGCCACUAGUCUAGAGCUCGUCACCAACGUCGCCAUCUCUGAGGUGGAGGUCAAGGAGAAAGGCGGCAAGGACUGGGUGGGGCUCAAGGAGUCGGGCUCUAACACCUGGACACUCAAAAGUGAUGCACCACUCAAGGGCCCCUUCUCCGUUCGCUUCCUUGUCAAGAACGGUGGCUACCGUGUCGUCGAUGAUGUCAUCCCUGAAAGCUUUACUGCCGGCUCUGAAUAUAAGAGUGGCAUCCAACUCUAAGUAACAGGCGUGCAUACUCUUGUGUUGGGUCAUAUUGGAAUUAUGAACCUCUAAAUAAUUAUGUCUUAAAAGAGAUCGCUCCAUGUUCGAGCGAACCAUUAAUUAAUUUUCUAUUAAUUAAUUUUCUGUGGUUAUUUUUUUGUAAUGGGCUAGUGGCAAAAUAAGGCAUACAUGUGUACUCCAAAAUAUUGCUGUGGAGCUAUAUGCAAAGCAUGGUUUUGAAUAUAUGUUAUUUAUAUAAGAUAUAUGGGAAAAAGUAUAUUUGGUCAACUUUCAUUAAGAUGAUUGGGUGCAUUAUUUGAUUUUCCAAAGUUUUAGUACAUAGGUAUGUCCAAACCAAUGUGUUCCUUUCACCAUUUUAGCGUGUCAAAAAUAUUGUAGAGUGACAUCUAUACUUGUUUUUUUUUUUCCUUUCUGAAAACAAAUUGUUGAUUCUCAGCCAUACUAUGAACUGAAACUAUAAGCACUAGCCAUCAACCCAUACUAUCUAAUUAUAUCAUCAUAAAUAUUAAUACUUUAGUUGCAAAUGAAUAUUUGUUUUUUGUAAUUACAAUAGCUCUUAUGUUAAAUUAAAAUAAGAUUUUAUAUGAAUUAUAUAUACCUUGUUAAUUAGUGAUUCCUAAUUAAUAGAAUACUUAGUGGAUAAAAUUCAUGAUUUUUAAUUCGUUUUGACUAUGACUUCCAAUGGCAUGUUUUCUUAAUACAAUGUCCCAAUAUAUUAUUGUUUGUAUUAUAAAUAAAACAAUUUUAGUCAUUUUUAUCCCUCAACAUUGGUAAAAGAAAAGUAAUUUCACUGAAUUUGUUGGAGGAAUCAUGUAUUUUCUGAAGCAACGACUAUUAAUAGAAACAUAAGUUAUUGAACUGGGUGAAGCAUAUGCAACAGAUAAUAUAUUAUAGUAAUAGGAUAACACACCUAUACUUAUCGUGAAAACCUGACAUAAAGGAUCAAAAUCAAAUAACAUAUAAACAUUAUAACAUAUAGUGAGAGGACACCAUGCACUAGUAGGUAUGAAUGGAUUCUUCUAGGAGCCAAAUCAAGAACUCUUCUAUACUGUCCUAUCCUAAUGCAUAUGAAAUCAGUUAUUAUGAUUCUUAACAUUACUUGUUUUGGCCCAUAAUAAAAAUAUCGCUUAUAAAUUUUAAAAUAAUAGAAAAAACUGUAGGAUACAUUAGUUUUUCCUUUGAUCACCAUUGGGGAAUUGCAAUAAUCAUCUAUUAAUUUGGAAAAUCUAUUAUUUUAAACAAAAAAUAUAUAAUCAUUCUCUCUUCCAUGAUCUAGGGAAAUAGGAACAAAAAUAAGCCAUGUCUCGCCACAUACCAUUUGGAAAAUAAUCUAUUAGUUUGGAAAAAUCAUUAUAAACAAAAUAUUUAUAAUGAUUCUCUCUUGCAUGCAUAUAUGUAUGUAUAUUACUCCUACUUCACUAAAGCCACGCAUGCAUCAUUAGUGGAAAAACCUGCUAGAUGCAUGCAUAUUUAUUGAUUUUUUUCCUUGCCCCAGACCAUGCAUGACCGCCUUUAUAAUGCAAAUUUUCCAGUGCAUAAACUAAAUACUAUAUAUACAGAUAGUUUCAGAAGGUCUGAACAUUUUUUCGAACAUAAAUUUGAAAAUUUUUACAAAAUAAAAAUAAGGAUAGAAAAUUCAUAAAACAUAGAAAAAAUACAUUGUAAUAUAUUAUAUACUCCCUUCGUCCAAAAAUAUAAUCAGUCAUAGACUUCAAAUUUUAUCCACAAAUACUAGUAUGUAGAGAGUUGCGCGUUUGCGCGGCCGUAACAUCCCUGUAUAUUAAAUGUGUUAUUUGUUAUUUACAGUAAUCAAUUUAAUUUUACAAUAAUAAUUAACACUCUAGAUGUAGGUGUGUGGACCAAAAUUGUCGGACACUGAAGUGACAAUAUUAUCAUGACAACCAAUAAUUUAACAUGCUUUCAUGCGACCAUAUCACCUUUGUAUUUAUACUAAUAUUGUAAACAGGUAAUUAGAGAAACAUAUGGUACAUAGUUUAGUAUUAUUGUUCUAAAAUAAACAAUGUUAUUGUUACAAUAAAUGAUUACAAAUGAACUAUCUAGAACAUAUUUCAUAAGUUUUAGUAGUGUGGCUGGCGGGAUGGAAGGCCGGUCAGCUGGCAGCAAAGCCAGAGACAGAAGGUUUGGAUGCAGUUUUUUUUUUUUAAUUAAAAGAAAAAUCAACGUAUCUAUCUAGACUAUCCAGUUGUUUCUCUGGGCCAUGAUUUUUUUUUAUUUCUCUAACUUUUUUUAAGCAUCAAUUUGAUUGGAUGGCUAUGAUCUUUUCUUCUACUUUGUCCUUUUCUGAAUCAAAUGGUUCAUAUUAUCCUGAUCAUGUGGAGGAUUUCAGUAAAGUUAAGUUUUGGUUUUAACUUUCACUUAGAGAGAUGAGCAUUUAAGUGUACAACAUCCAUCACUCAACCACCUCUCACUUAAUAUUUUUCGAUAAACCUUAUUGCUAAUAAUAAAUGUUCAUGUUCCUACACUGUCGAUGAAUGAUACUCGUAUACCGGAUGAUUAGGGUAUUAGGGUAUGUUAGAAUGAUGAUCUACGUAAUACGACAUCAAGCAAACAGAAGACAAGAAUUAUACUGGUUCAGGCCCCUUAUCAGGUAAUAGUACUAGUCCAGUUUAUAUGGGAUUGAUGAUUGAAAACCGCAUAUUUCAAUGGGAGUAGAAAAAUUCGACGAUACCGGCAAGAUCGUAGUUGAUGUAUUCGACGAGAUCUCCCGGUGACUUGGCUCCGUGUAUUCCGGCUUCGUAAACUAUGGUGGGUGUGUUAGCAAUGAGAUUCGAUGCCUUGCACCCCUUCCCAGGGGUCUCUUUUAUACCGUGAAUCAUCUUGAUCUCUAUGUAAGACUCGGAAACAUCGGAUCCCGUACGAUACAAUAUAAAUUUUAUCCCCUCCAAGUAGGACUUUGGAAAUCACUUAACUCGUAGAGAUAUUUUCCAUAAUUUGUAACGGAUUCCUACUACAUGUAUAGAUACACCGGUCAGACCGGCGGUACAGCAGCGGUCAGACCAGUGGUACAACUAUUUUGGAGUAUAGACUCGGGAACAUCAGAUCUACAAUAUAAACUUUAUCCCCUUCAAGUAGGACUUUGGAAAUCACUUGACUCGUAUAGAUAAUUUACAUAUUUUGUAAUGGAUUCCUACUAUGUGUAUAGAUACAACCUGUGUACGUGAAGGUAUACCAUACACGUAUAUUCUAUAAGUCGUAAGAUAGGAGGUAUAUAUGCCUUAUCCGUAACCAUAACACUCUCUUAUUUAAAUUUGUCUUAUUUUUGCGUUCCUUCCUAAUCUCUAAAGAAACUUGACAUCCCAUAUAUUUAAGGAUGUACAGGUGAAUAUAAAUAUAAGAAGAAUAAUAAAAGUAGAUCAAAUAUAGAUAAAAAAGUUAGACUAUGCAAAUUGAUGGAAUACUACUUGAAUUGUACGAGGCUACCACACUAUGGACCUUUCUAAAUGCCAGAAAAAUUUGUAAAAGCAAAUAGAUGGAACACUUUUAUGAAUUAUGGGUACGAUGACAACGGAUUGGCUUCUUAGGUGCAAGCAAACUUGUCGAUCAAUUUUAAAUCAAACAUCUGAACAUCAAAAAAAUAUAUAUGGUAAGGUGAUGACGUAGGUUAACACUCCUAUAUAUUAGACGUGUUGUGACAGAUGAGAAACAUGCAUGUAAAGAGAACUGAACUGGAAAUUAGAAGUUAGAAUCAAACCUUAAUAAUUGAUAGAAAAUAGCAAUAGCGUUCACCUGUCGCUGUGUGCAUGGCCAUGCCGUGCCCUCCCAUGUUUGCCAUUGCGUCUAUCUGAUCAGAUCGAUAUGCAGUACUACAUUCGUCUCAUUUUAAGUGUAGUCAUGAUUUUUCAUGCGCAACGUUUGACCAUUCGUCAUGUUUGAAAAUUUCAUGAAAAAAUUAAAAGAAUAAAUCAUGCAUAAAGUAUUAUUUAUGUCUUAUCAUCUAAUAACAACAAAGAUACUAACAAUAAAAAUUUUAAAUAAGACGGAUAAUCAAACAUUUGACACAGAAACUCACAACUGCACUUAAAAUUAAAGUGCAUUGGCGGUCCUUAAUCUUGUAGGGUUGUGUCAUAUAGAUCCCUAAACUUUCAAAAUGCAUAUCCAGAUCCCAGAACUUGUCAAAGUGUAUCAUCUAGGUCCCAAAUCGACGCAUCCCCUCUAAGAUCCUACGUGGUGCUGAGGACGUGACGUGUCCUUUUCUUUUUUUUUCUUCUUUUAUUUUUCUUUUUCUUUUCCGUUUUCUUCUCAUUCUUCUUUUUUUCCUUUCUUCUGCUCGGGUCACAAAGAAAGGAGAAUAAAGGGGAAAAAGAGAAGAAAAAAAGAAAAAAAAAUUAAAUGGGUCCUAUUUAUCAGUAAAAUAAUGCCAUGUCAUGUCCGUGUGGCAUGUCACAUCAACGCCACGUAGGAUCCUAAAGGGGUUGUGGUAAUUUGGGACGUAGAUGACACACUAUGACAAGUUCUGAGAUUUGGAUAUACAUUUUAAGAGUUUAGGAAUCUAAAUGACACACCCCAACAAAUAUAAGGACUGUCCGUACACAUUACUCUAAAAUUAAAAUGGAACGGAGAGAGUAGUACGUGCAAGCUGUGGAAAAUCAUAAAAGGACUGUUGUAGAGCUAUUAAUUAACGUAGAUGUUUCUGUAAUGUAUGUUCGUUGUAGUGCAUGCUUAAUACGAGAUGUUUUGGAAAAAAAAAGAGAUAUCAGUAGCAUCCCAGUAAAUAUGGAUGGCCCUGUAUACCACCACCGAUUUUAGACUGCUUGAUCGAUCGGUUUAGAAAAAAAAAAGAUUACGCACUUUCAUAAAAAGGAAAAAAAAUAUUGUACUUAAACGGAUCGGGUCAAUGGGCUUGGCAAUAGGUUAGAUGGAUUUUAAAGAGACCCACACCACAUAGAAUGUGGAUUCAAAUUUCAACGGUUGACAUAUUACAAUCUGUUUAAUCAACGGUUAGAUCACAUGAGAGGUUCUAAAAAAGUGUCUAAUUAAUAUAUAGGUAUAGAUAAAACAUCAGUACAUUGUAUAGUUUAUUGAGAUGUCAAAACAAACUGCAGUACGACUGAGUGGUAAUAGGUAGGAUGGAAAUGAAGCCAGCUUUGAGAGGAGCAAAAUUAAGCUUCAUAUCAUAUAGUUGGCCAAUGCCCCAAGCUACAGUCAACAAGAAAGUUUGUACCCCCGUCGUUUUUUAAUAGAUGAUGCCGUUGACUUUUUCACAUGUUUGAUCAUUCGUCUUAUUCAAAAAUUUUAUGCAAAUAUAUAAGAUAUAAAUUACACUUAAAGUACUAUGAGUGAUAAAACAACUCAUAACAAAAUAAAUUAUAAUUACGUAAAUUUUUUGAAUAAGACGAAUGGUCAAACAUGUGAGAAAAAGUCAACGGCAUCAUCUAUUAAAAAACAAAGGUAAUAUAAUACUAUUAGAAUACCAAUUUAUUGCAAGGAUAUAAAAUAAAUAAACCAUUAGUUACAAACUUUAAAUAGAAAUAUUUUUGCACUACUAGUAUACCGUUAGUUCCAAACAUUUGAACGCAAAGAACUAGUAAAUCUUUCACGUGAAAAAAAUGUAGUGGUGGUUUACAUUCUAUAGUCCAUCGUGUAAGCACAACCUCACUCCCACGCCCUCUCGAGCGACUCCUAGCUGCACACAUGAUGUCUGCAUGAUGUCCUUUCCCAGGCGCUUGCCCAUGAACUUCCUGUGACCUGUAGCUCUCAUGUCGUAUGGAUGUAACAGCAUGUGCAUCCGUGUCACGUGCAAUUCCAAAAUUAAUUUGUGUAUUAAAUCCUCGUCAAAAAUCAGUCAAGGUACACAAACUUAUUAUUUGAUCAUACAAUAGAAAAACUAAAACAAUAAAUUCUUAGUCCUCACCAUGACAAAAAGGUAACAAAAAGGAAAAACUAACAAAGCUUUAAAUCCACUCCGACAGGUAGCUCAACUGAGGCAUACUCCUUUUUCAACUGAGAUUGAUGAUUAUUGCAAGGUGGGUAUAUAACGUAGUCCAUAGGCCACACAACAAAUUAACGAAUGAUCUAACAGAGCCAUCAUAAAGUCAUAGCUAGUGAAUUCAUAACCCCGGGAAACAAGGAAUAAGGUUACCAGUGCAAAUUGGUCAUAACAAAGGAAUAGGUGCACACCACAAAUAAAUACAUGUUUGAAAUAAAUAAAGAAUUUAAAUAUAGGAUCAACCUGCUCAAAGGGAAGUUUGAGAUAUGUCCGACUUGCCAUGCAAACAAAUGACUUCAAUUCGUAUUCUGAAACACUUCCGACAAACUUGUGAUCCUCCGAAAUGAUAGAACUACACUAUAGCAUGCAAAACAAAGAAAAAGACUAAUAAGAAAAAAAGCUAUAGCGUACAAGAGUUUUCAAGGUAAUUUUUUUGUGAAAAUCUUUAAAGUCGUUGUUCGUCCUUCUUUUGAAUUGGAGCCUCCCAAUCCAUUUAUUUAUUUUAUUCAUUGAGUUUCACCCCCCCCCCCAUAAUCUGAUCCAUUUUCCCUUCGAAACCAAAAUUCCAAAUUUCAAGAAUUCUCCAAACGAUCUCUGUGAAAAUCAUUCCAUCAAUUCAUGUCUAUAAACUCAUAUGGAAGUUCUAUUCAAAAUCACAUAAAAAUUGAAUGACCACUAUAUCUCUCCCUGGGCCAAAAUCAACCACAAUCCAACCCGUCACCCUCUGUGUCACUUCCUCCACCAUCUCCCUAGCUCUGUCCUGCACCUUUCCAGCCCACUGCCACUGCACCCCAACAAAGGCAGCUGCCCCAACCGAGUUUAUUACGUGUGCCACACAAUGCCCCUAGGUGCCUUGCCAUCGCUCCUCCCGACCAUUCGCUCGACCACCCCUCUAUCUUCCACUAGCAUAUCCCCCCGGCCCCUAAUUUGUUUGUGUAUGGGUCCAUAUCCUCAAUGAACGGAACAUGAGGAGGUGACUAAUUCUCAUAAUUAUUAAUAAGUUAAAAAAUUACGUGGAGAAGAGAUGGGACCGCAUAGAUGUCGUACGCUAGCGAAACAACCAGGACCGUCAAACUUGCAUCUACUUAAAGCAAUAGUAUGAGUCCCUCGAUGAAAAUGCCUACCAAAGAUCUCCAUGCUGCACCGCACAUCCAUGCUAGGUUUUCAUACCGGUCCAUAAACACUCCUUUAGGGAGAUGCUUGAGCAAUAGGCCCAAGCAGAACUAGGCUUUCCCCAAGUCCUUCAUCUCAAGCUCAAUAUUAAGAUAAGCCAUUGCUUGUUUAAUGUCCUGUGUGGUGCCAAGGAUAUUUAGAUAAUUGACAUAGACCGAGAUGAUACAAAAUGCAUUCAGGGAUUUCUUUAUAAACACAGGGGGACAAUCAUAAUUGUUUGGGAAACCUCUCUUUAGGAGAUAUCUAUUUAAUUGAUUGAAUCACAUCCUUCCGGAUUGUUUUGAUCCGUACAUUGAUCGCUGCAGGCGAACAAUAUAGAUGUUGCAAUUUCCUUUCGGAUUUGGGAUCUUGAGUCCUUCAGGGACUCUCAGAUAAAGUUCCAAAUCUAAUGCCCCAUACAAGUAUGCGGUCAAUAGAUCCAUCAACCGCAUGUGUCGGUUCACAUGCUCCAUGAACAGAUCAUGAGGAGGUGAUUAAUUAUCAUUAUUCUAAGUUUUAAAAAAAAUAAGUAGAGAAGAAAUGGGACCACAUAGCUGAUUUUUGGGAGGCCUGCAUGCCCUAGGCUAGCGAAACAACCGGGACCACCCAACUAGCAUCUGUUUAUAGCAAUUGUAUAAGAACCCCUCAAUGAAAAAGUCUACCAACGAUCUCCACGCUGCACCGUGCAUCUAUGCCUAGUUUGCUUACCCUCCCUCCACCAUAAAUACGCACCCAACUGUAACAUGUAUCACCAAACAUAUCGAUCCAUCCCUCUACCAGUCAAGAAACAAGGAAGAUUACACCAACAAAUAAACUAGCUAGCCAAUGGCCUCGUUGUCCUCUUUCCGGCUUGCCGUGGCGGUGGCAGCACUGUUGGUUGUUGGCUCAUGUGCCACUGAGCUCACCUUCAAGGUCGCUGAGGGCUCUAGCGCCAGUAGUCUAGAGCUUGUCACCAACGUCGCCAUCUCUGAGGUGGAGAUCAAGGAGAAGGGUGGCAAGGACUGGGUGGCGCUCAAGGAGUCAUCAUCUAACACCUGGACGAUCAAAAGUGAGGCGCCGCUCAAGGGCCCCUUCUCUGUCCGCUUCCUUGUCAAGAAUGGCGGCUACCGCGUCGUCGAUGAUGUCAUCCCCGAAAGCUUCACUGCUGGCUCUGAAUAUAAGAGUGGCAUCCAACUCUAAGUAAGAGGCAUGCAUACUCUUGUGUUGGGUCACAUGAGAAUUAUGAACCUCUAAAUAAUUAUCUCUUAAAAGAGAUCACGCCACGUUUGAGCGAGCGAAUAAUUAAUUUUCUGUGGUUAGUUUUUUGUAAUAGGCUGGUGUUAAAAUAAGGCAUACAUGUGUACUCCAAAAUAUUGUUGUGGAGCUAUAUGCGAGCAUGGUUUUGAAUAUAUGUUAUUUAUAUAAGAUACUAGGUGAUUCCCCGCGCUUUGCUGCCGAAAUUUCUAAGUAACUUUUAAUAUUUUUUUUAAUAAUCGAUCUAAAAGUAAAAUUUAUAUUAGUUAUUAGCAACAAAUAAAAAUGGUUUGUCAAACUAUGUUCAGAGAGAAAUAUGAUAUGUAUGAGAUUGUAGAUGAAAUAUGAUAUCCCACACUUUGAUUAUAUGAAUGAAUAUAAAUGUUAAAAAUAUUGUGAAAAAUAAUGUGAAGGAAGAUGAUUGGAUGUUGAUUUGUAUAAUUCAAUAAAUUAUAGAUGAUGUUGCAUGCUUGCAUAAGUUUUGCAUGUAUUUAUUGCUAGUGGAUGAUGAGGUGGCAUGUUUGCAUGUUGAGCUUUAGGGUUAGUGGGUCAUAACUUUAUAGUAAGAUAGGAUAUGGGAAAAAGUAUAUUUCAUCAACUUUCAUCAAGAUGAUUGGGUGCAUUUGAUUUUCCAAAGUUUUAGUAUAUACGUAUGUCCUAACCAAUGUAGCUCAUUUCACCUUUUUAGCAUGUAAAAAAUAUUGUAAAGUCACACCUACACGUGUAUUUUUUUUCUUUUCUGAAAACAGAUUGUUGUAUCAACCAUACUAUGACCUGAAACUAUAAGCAUAAAGCAUCGGUACAUCGUUUAGUAUAUUCAGAUAUCAGAACAAACUGCAAGUCACAUUAAUCUCACAUAUCCAACACGAAUGAGUGAUAAUCGGAGUAGAAUGGAAAUGAGGUCAGCUUUGAGAGGAGCAAAAUUAAGCUUCAUAUCAUAUAGUUGGGCCAGGCCCAGAGCUAUACUCAACAACAAAGUUUAUAUACUACUAUGAGAAUACCAAUCUAUUGGAAAGAAUCUAAAAUAAAUAUGCCAUUAGUUCCAAACUUUAAAUCAUUUUUUUUUACAUUACCAGUGUGUUACAAAGGAUCUAAAAAACAUACCGUUUAAUUCCAAACAUUCAACAUAAAGAACAAAUAAAUCUUUCACUCCUAAAAAAUGUAGUGGUGGUUUAUGAUCUGUCCUCCAUCAUGUAUGCCUAACCUCACGCCCAUGCCCUCUCGAGCAACUCCCGCACGCAUGAUGUCCCUUUACCCUAUGCCAAUGGAAACAGACCCCCAACCCCCACCACCAGAUCAAAUUAUACUUCCUACGUGCUUGACCAUGGACCUCCACUCACCUGUAGGCUGUAGCUCUCAUGCUGCAUGGAUGUAACAACAUGUGCAUCCCGAACUAACUUGUGCAUUAAAUCGUCGUCUAGGAAAGUAGGAAUUAGCUGAGGUAUACAAACUGACAAUUUAACUAUAUAGUACCAAGAAAACUAAAGCAAUUAAUACUUACAAAAGAGGCUAUUAGUCCUCACCACGAAGACAAUUGCAGCGAAAAAAGAAAAAACUACUGAAGCUUUGUUUAGGUGAUGAUUGGAUUCACUAUUAUUUUAUGUUUUGAUUAUUAUUCUGUGAUGAACAAUUGGCAUAUGUGAUUAUUGGUUUUGAUAUUUGGAGAUUAUCGUCGAAGUGGUUUUGGAGAUAAUCAAUUUUUAGGUGAUGAUUGGAUUCACUAUUAUUUUAUGUGACCGGUCCGACCGGGCUGUGUAUGCCGGUCAGACCGGCGGUGAUCGAGCAGUCAGACCGGACGGCCCGCGGUCUGACCGGCCGACAGUGUAUCGGUUUCGGUUUCGGGUUGUUCCAUAGGAUAUCCGUGAUUGUUUCAUAGCUAUGGCUUUUAGAUGGAUACUAUAAAUAUGUAAUACUGGUGUUUGCUAACAAUGAGUCGAGUUGGGGAUAGUUUGGUCUCGGAAUAUGGUUUUUUUGUUUGUUUCAUGUGUAGGUGACUCGAUGCCUCGGGAGAGUAUUUGCAGUGAUGGACUGGGAGUCGGCUUGGUGGUAAGACGAUGUCCGUGGUGGUCAGAUAUCAUGCGGGAUACUAAGGCUAGAGUUGAUGCACGUGGUUAGUGAAGAUUCCAUAUGGCAUAUGAUGGAGGUAUUAUGUGCAUAUGGGAUGCGGAGUCGAAUUUGGAAGGAGUCCAAAUUUGAUACAAUUGGUUAUGUUAAGUUUGUGUCUUGUACUAGAGGGUUUCCUGAGGUGUUUAGGACUCUUAGUAUGAGUUUGGUUCGUGGCUUUAGGCUGCCUACCUCAUGUAUAAAUAGAGGGGGAGCGUGAGGCUUCCCGGUAUCGUUUUUGUAUCGCUUUUAAGAGCAAUUGAGUUGAUAGUUUAGUUAGGGUUUCGAGUUUAGUAGAGAUUUUUGUAAGGAGUGUUGUUGUUGCACUUUGUAAACACAGAGAGAAGCAAUAAAGUUGUCAUCUACUUUAAGAGUUCUUCGAUUUGUGUUUCACCGGGUUUCGACGGUCUAACCGGCGACUCACUGGCGGUCAGACCGGCGAAGCACCGACGGUUAGACCGGCUAGGGCGAGGCGGUCAGACUGGCGGCGACAUCAGGCGCGGCAGGGAUUCCAGGGCGGUCCAACCGGAAGAUCAAUACCGGUCAGACCGGCGGCUACGCUUCGGUCAGACCGACAGAUCAAUCUCGGUCAGACCGAUCUCCAUCGAUUUCGAGGGUAACUUUUAUUUCUGCUAAAAGUUUUCGGUUUUUGGGUAUACCAAUCAUUCACCCCCCCCCCUCUAGUUGGCUUAGUUCUUGUGAUUCGAUCCUACAACAUCGAACGUUUAAACUCCUGCAUGAAGUAUUAAAUAUAGGCUAAAAAAAUAACUAAUUGCACAGAUUGCGACUACUUUGCGAGACAAAUCUUUUAAGCCUAAUUGCUCCAUGAUUUGACAAUGUAGUGCUGCAGUAAAUAUGUGCUAAUAUAAUGAUGGAUUAAUUAGGCUCAAUAAAUUCGUCUCAUGAUUUACUGACGGAUAGUGUAAUUAGUUUUUUUAUUACUGUGCGAACACCCCAUGCGACACCCUGUAUAAUAUCCGAUGUGACACGCUAAAACUUUACACACCUGGAUCUAAACACCCCCUAAGUAGAGAAUCGCUUAGUUAUUUUUAUGCAUUUACUAUUUACAAAAUUAUUUGGCAUAUCCGUGAAUAGUGUGGAUGACUGACAAACCUGACACACAGCCGGAUAAGCUGCCCAAUUGAGGAGCUUCUGUACCAUAGAAAAAUACAUGUCACCAAUUGCGACGAGCCAAAAAAAUUCAAAAAACCGAGGAAAACGUGAACAAAUUUAUUGCCCAAGUUGGGUGAAAAGUUUUAUAUGAGAAGGUCAACAAAUUUGUUGCCCAAAUUCUAAUGCCUGCUGUUAAUAUAAAAUUUAAUUCACUGCUAAUUUUUUUGUCACGAAUUUCAUAGUCAAAAUAGAUAGGAAAAACAAAAAGAAAAUAGAAUAAAAGAGACCAGGAGCCCGUUUGUGUGUUAGGAAUUUCCAGUAAUUCAUUAACUCAUGCAUAUAUAACACUACCACAAUAGCUAUCCUGCUUCAGUUUUGCUGGUAGGAAGAAAAUGGAAAUAUUCCAAAACACUAGAGGGGCAGUGUAUUCGCGUCAGAUUUUCAAGGUUUGGAAUGCGAAGCUUUGGGGAUUCUAGAAUGUAAAGAAAGCACAAAGAGUCUUGGAUAUUUAAGACCUUGCAACUAUUUAAGACCAUGUUGGGGUUCCUAGAAUGAAGAGAUUAAAUGGGAUCGAGAGGAUUAGUUCCAAACCUCAAUAGGUAUGGAAUACUUUUCCUCCAAAUUAAUAACCUUUAAUCCCAGGGUGACAUGAACGUAGUAACAAUGCAAACCAUUGUCCAAAUCAUACAGACAUGAACAUAGGUGACAAUGCAAACCAUUGUCCAAAUCAUACAGAUGUCAAAAGACAGGUAGCAACUCGUUCAGUCUUCAUAAUCUUCGAAGAACAAACAGUAGCACCAUACAGUGAGAAAUAUCAGAUUUGCUCUGCAGCAUCAGUUGGAUGGAAAUAACCACACUGGAAAAAUCAAUGAUUUCCUCAGGAACGCCAAUGUUGCAAGGUAACAAUUUGAGAGCAAAGGGCUUCAUCAUACCAUUUCUUGUGUUGUAGAGUACAAAUCUAUCAUGCCACACCACGAUGUUGCAACUUACUGAACCACUUACAAUAAUACUAAGCAGAAUGGGAUGAGGGCAACAACGACGAUUUGGUUCAUCCUCAUCUCUCAUAUCUUCAUGAACAAUAUCAAAUGUGAACCUACACAUACAAGAUUGGCAUUUGACAAAAAAAAAUACAGAUGCAAUCUACAAACUACAAUUGAUUAAUGAACAAAAAUGGUAGGAAUGCAACAUAUCAUUUGCUCUAGUUUGAGAUAACGGAGGUAAACUUUUUCACUCUAUUAUUCAGUUCUAGGAAAUAUUACAAAAUAUCAUCUUCAGUGAUUGCCAAAACAUCUCUCUCAAUAUGAUUCAACCUAUCAUUCCCCAUCUUAUUUCUCAACUCAGUCUAUUGACAAUUUUCUAGCUGAAAAGGCUCUUUUAACCUUGUCAGUUACAACACAGCAGGAGGUCACCUCCACCAAGUGUCCAAACUCCAAACAAUGUUUGGUUGUCACAUAGGAGUUUCAAUGUGUGAAACUCAAAUUGAAGCGAGCUUUCAGUGGUCAUGUUCUCUGCAAGCAAAACUUAUCUCAAAGAAGGGAUGUAAUAAUAUUUAUGAAUGCGAUUAAUGGUAUUUGUCCUCUUGUUUUAUUUCUCUUAUAGUUGCUAAAAGAGUUAAAUGUUGAAGUAGAACCUUCCAUAUUAAUAUUUUUCGGAAAGAAAGAAAAAUCUGAGAAUUGUGACAAGAGCAUAGCAGAUUAUACAUGUUAUAGUCAUGACCAAAGAGUCUAAUGACAAGUAAGCUCUGUCUUGAUAAGAGCAACUAGCGGCACAAAACAACCAGUUAGAUCAGUUUUGCUGUGCAGCAUCAUUCGGUAGGAAGUAACCACACCGGGAAAUCACGACUCAACUGGUCCACAUCAAAGUCGGAAGCUAAUAGUUUGACGGCAAAGGACCUCAUCUUACCAUCUCUCAUGCUAUACACAAAUGUAUCAUAAGGCUUCCAAUCAUCAGGGACAAAGUAGAUAUGGUCACCUUCAACUCCAUGAUGUAGACCAGCAGGAAAGGACUUGCAGCCACCUAAGCCAACAAAGAUACAGUCACCAUUCAAGCUGUGAAUCUCAGUUAGUCCAUAAGGGUUUGUGUUAACAUCCAGUGCAAACACUUCAACUUUAAGAACUUCUCGGUCACGGUAAUUGUCGCUGUAGUGUCUGAUGAUUAAUAAUAGCUCUCCACGCCACACAACCAUAUUACAACUUAUUGCACCACCUCCCUGGUAGGGAUGAUGGAGAGGCAGCGCACUCAGACAACGCUUAACGCGAGAGACCAUGAGCCCACCAUUGUCCUCCCCAACUUCAAAAGCAAAGAGGCGUAUCUUAUAUCUUUGGAGCACAUACAGCUUCCCAAGGUAAAAAGUGAGAUCUCUUGGGCCAUCAAUGUCAACGCCAGCGCAAAUAUGCCAUGAAAUCAUCCCAGGCUGCCAGAGAGCAAGUUUUGAUGCACACUUGUGGUCAGAGGAAGCAGCUACAAUGUACUUGCCUCUUGAGUCAGGUGAAGCAGAUAGUGCCACAUUGCAUAGUGACAUUGUGUAUAUAUCAUUGACACGAAAAUAGACCUCACCAGAACCAUUGAUGAUGCGGAGGGUCUUACUGGAGUAAGCAGGAAAAUUGUAACGCAUAUGGCACAGCUGCGGUAGGCGGAUGACCUUGCGAGAGAAAACAUUCACCAGGAAGCAGUCACCAUCGGCAUCUCUGUUGUACUCGUCGCUGCGAUCCUUGUUAGGAGUCACACCUACAAGCCAUCCAUCAAAAUAACCCACACAUCGGAGAUCAUCAGCUGCAACUUCCUUAGGCACCGGCACGCACCGCACAGGCAUCAAAUCCCCCUUGUCUGAUAGGCUCGAGAACUUGAAACCAGGAAGCAUCAGCAGGGGCAGCGGCGGUGGCAGGACGUGGCCGUUCGCGCUGGCUCGCCAGUGACGGCACACGGACCGCAUCCUCGCACGGUCGGCAAGGCAUGGAAGGAAGUGGAGCACGAUUCCCAGAAUGUCCGGUUGAAGGCCUGCCCACAGUGACACCCCCGCGUCCAACUCCAACCUUGAUCUCUUCUUGGGCAUUCCGCCGAGCACCACACCUGCACGAGCCACCGGGUGUCACUGUCACGCUCCACAGCAAACACCCACCCACGGCCAGGAAAAUACGCAAUAACAUAUACUAGACGAUAACGAACACACAGUGUCUGUCGAAGCCGUGUUCCAUCGCCGCCGGUGACGGGCUCCGGGGGCAUCCUCGAUCCGACGAACGGGGAGGCAUUUCGUCGAACAGCUUGCCUGCACAACAGCCACCGGUGGAUCAGAUCAGAUCCAAGCCUCCGCACUGUGAGAUGCGCGAACAGGCCGAGGUGAGAUGGGUAGCUCUCACCUGAGUUUCCUCCGGCAGAAUCCAUGGCGACCGGAGGUUUCAUAGCGGCGGCCUAGGGGAAGGAGAUGGGGAGAGAGUCACCGAAGCGAAGGGGGUGAGCGGAUGGCUAGGCUUUUGUGGAUUGUUGGCUGCUGCGAUGAAUCAUGAAUGUCGAUGUUGGGCUGACCCUAUGGCCACUGUUAGCUGCUCGGUCCCACUAGUUAGCGUCUACUACAUUUUUAUCUUUUUUUUGCAAAAAUAGAACAUGUAUUUGUGUUUCUUUAGGCCUUAUUCGGUUACGCCUGAUUCAAUCCAGUCUAGAAAUGACAAGUAUAGUAAGAAAUUUAUGAUAGAUGUAAUGAGAGACCGGGAUUUAUUUCGGGCCGGAAACCAAUUUACUCAUGAUAGGGACAAUAAGAGACCGGGAAUCAAUCCACUAGUCAAGAGGUGUGGAACUAAUCCGGAUGUUUUGUUGUACCUAAUAUGAAUAAAUUGGUUCUCGAUCCGGAAUAAAUGCCGGUCUCCUUUUUACCUAUUAUAAAUUUCUUGUUAUACGUACCUAUCAUUCCUAGCAUGGAACGAAUCCCAACCGUGUAACCGAACAAGAUCUUGGUGGGUUCGAUUUUUUUUAAACUAGUAGAAUGCUGGUGCGUGCAAUGGUUCAAAACAAUUUUAAUCAUACACAUACAUACUUUAUUGGCAGAUAACCCACAAGUCUGAUAGGUCCUCGAGUACCAAGUGUGCCCGUGGGUUAGCGUUAGAACAGAGUGAUGUCUCAACCACAGUGACGGGGAACAGAAGUUAGAAGCAACAGUUACAUAGGCGAGUGUAUGGGGGAGCAUGAGAUUGAAGAAUUGAUUUAAUUUAGCGACUACUUAUAUAAUAUUUCAUAGAAAAAACCUUAUAAAUUCUUAACCAGUGAAUCGUUUCAAAAUUUGUCCACUCCUCCUCUGACCGUAACCCCUCCUCUCCUCUCUCAUCAUUUUUUCUUAACACUGCCGAAACUCGCGAGCAAGUGCACAUUCGCACGAUGCCUCUGCCUCCUGUGUCAUCGCCAUCGCUGCCCAAUCUCAUCGGCUAGCUCACGAGCUCCUUCUCCCUCCCUCCUGUCCCCCUAGCCGGUCACCUCCUUCUCCUACCUUCUCUUUCGCAAGCCAGUUGUGCCGAGUUUUCCAUCCAAAUGUCUUUCUCAUAUCUGGCGACCACCCCCCUCUUAACCACACAAGCCCUAUUUUGUCCCCACAAUCAACACCGCCCCACUAUCCUCUACCGUCAUUGCGUAUCUAGUGACAUUGCCCCCAUGUCGGCUUGCCGGAAGGUGUCAACAGCGUUGGUGAGGCUCUCCCAACCGUCCACCUCCCCAUCUCCCUUAUCUUUUCAAAGCCGAGGGCGCACCAGUGCCCCAUCCAACCAUUUUCCCCAUCUCCUAUCCACAAGAUCCGGUUUGCCCCCACCGUGCGCCAACACCAACCUACAUCCUUCCCCACUGCUCUAGCACCUCACCGCUCACCAGAAUGCCGCCUGCCACAGCCAUCCCUUUAAGCCAGCCCUCUCCCGCUCCCCUUACAUCCAUUCCCACCUCCACCCUGACUCGGAACCCUAAACCUAACUUAGCAUGCCAUCGCCAGAUGCAGGAGCUUCCUGGAGUUGGAGGAGAAAGAGUUGGGGUUGUUGGAGCAUGAAUCACGACAUAAAUCCAAAUGUCAUAAUUUUUUAGGCAAAAUAGUCACAAUUUCCAAUCGAUAGUCAUUUAAGGCAAAUGGUUCAAAAGCAGGAAGUAACCAAUGAAUGCACUCUUAUUAGCAAGGUGUAGGCAUUAUGGCAAAAGGUAGGUAACAACAACUACCUAGUUGAAGUGAUACUACCAGGCAGCAAGCGCAGCAAGCAAAUACGAAACAGCUUUAGAGCAUUGCAAAUGAGGAAGGCCAGAGCAUUACGGGAGAUACCAAUUCUACCAUAUAGGAAACUAGAUAGUGCCCCGCGCUUUGCUGCGGGAUAUAUGUUAGACAUUGAAGAAAUGAUGAAAUGAUUUGGAAUGAAAUAUUAUGAAAGUGAUUUGAGAAUGAUGAUUUAGCAUGGGUAUGUUUAGUUUUAGAAUGAAAUAAAUUGUAGACAUAAUUACCAUAUGUUUGUAUGUCGAGCUUUCUGUGCUUUAAUGGGUUGAUGCGGCAUGCUUGCACGUAGGUUUUAGGAGUGCUAAUAAAUACUAUGCUUGUUGAGUUUAGGUGUGUAGUGGACAUUAGCUUUAUAGAAAAAAGAGAUAAUAGUUUUUUCUUGGUGGACCCCAUCUUAUUCUCUACCUCCUGUUGUUUGGGACCACACACUAUUACCAAGUUGGGUUAGAUACAUUGAGGAUGUACUUAGUAAUUCUGUUCAGUUUAUGUACUCUCUGUCACAUAAUAGAAGGUUCCAUAACAACCCUAGGGUCCAAUUCACAUAGGAAUAAUUUCAUCCUAGGCCCCUCGAUUUAUCGCCCAAUCUGUUUCGUCCUUCAACCUAAAAAACAGAUACAACCCGUUCUCCAACUUACAAAACUAGUUAAAAAAAGAUCCCUCGGUAGUAUUGACACUGGUUUUAGAUGACGUGGUGCCUACGUGGUUCCUUUGACUUGUUCUUCGUCCUAUGGGGCAUUGACAUGGCGCUUACAUGGCAGUUUGAUCCGGAAAAAAUAGAAGUGCAAAAUUGUAAAACUAAAAAACUAAACAAAAUAUGAGGGACCCACAUGUCAGUCAAACAAAAUAAAAUAAAAAUAUUUGACCUACAUUUCCCUUAUCACUUUCUCAGAGAGGGAUAGCGCGGGGAGGCUGACGAGCCUCGCGGCGCUCUCUCCCUAGUCGUCGCGCCACCCACGCUCCUCAGUCCUCUCCUCUCUCCCCCCGAGUGCCGUACCACCCACGCUCCUCUCCUCUCUCCCGUCGGACGCCGCAUGUUGUUGUCUCCCUCGCCGCUGCGUCGCCCACGCUCCACUCCUUUCUCCUGCCAGACGCCAUGUGCGCUUUCUACCCCCACCGUCACGCCGUAAGUGCACCUCUCCUCUCUCCCGCCGGCCGCCGCGGCGCGCACGUUCCUCUCUUCCACCGCAAGCCGCGCAUGCUCCUCUCUUCCACCGCAAGCCACGCACUCUCCUCUCUCCCACCGCUGUGCCAUGCGCUUCUCCUCUCCUCUCUCUCCCGCCGCGAUGCCUCGUGCUGCUCCUCUCCCAUGCGUGGCGCUCAUCUCCGCCGCCGAGCUCGUACGCUCCAUGGCCGACCGUCGGAGAGGGUGAAGGGGACGGCAAAGUGGUUUGACGCCACCAACGGGGUUUGACGUCACCCGCGGAUCUCAUCCCAGCGGUGGUGGGAACCGUGGCUAUGGAGGCAGUGGCGGGUACAGCGAUGGAGGUUAUGAAGCUAAACCCGUGACGGUUUGCUUCGGUCGCCCCUGCUCCAUGUCGACGGCUUGCCGAUGUCGUCAGCGGCUACGGGCGCCGCCAACAUGUGCUCGAGGGCAUCGACUGCAUCCUGAAGCGCAAGGACUUCCUUGCACCGUGGACCGCAUUGAGCCGGAGCAACAGCCGCGUGAGCGCCUCACCCCACCCAUCGAUCGCCUGCUCCGACUGCCUAGGUGGGAGAGAGAGAGAGAGGAUAAAGAUAAGAGGGGAGUGAGAUGACAUGUGGAGCCACAUAGGCCCCAUCAUAUUUUUAUUUUUUAUGCAACUGACAUGCGGGCCCUAUGGUUUUUAUUAUUUUUUGUUAUAGAAUUGCCAUAUAAGCGUCACAUCAAUGCCAUAUGGGACGAAGACCUAGUGAAAUGAUACAUGGAGGUGCCACGUCAGCCAAAACUAGGGUUAAUACUGCCUAGGAACCUCAGUUGCAUUGUUUUGUAAGUUGGGGGACGUGUUGUAUCCGGUUUUCUGGGCUAAAGAUGAAAAUCUGACUAGACGACAAAUUGAGGGACCUAAAGUGAACUAAUUCCAUUCGCAUAACCCUAGGAAAACACCCAUUCACGGUGCUCACGGUGGGCGCCCAAAUAGAUUCCAUGGGCAUUCAAAUGUAAUCAUUCCUUCCUUAAAAAAAGGCAACCUACGAGGGGAUGUGACCUCUCCUAUGUCCAGAUUUAUUGUACUAAGAGAUAUCACAUCCCCUCCUAGGUUGCCUUUUUUUUUUUUUUGGACGAAGGGAGUGUACCCAUGAUUUUUAGAAAGAAAAUAAGUAUAUCUAUUAUGUAAUAUGUACGUGGAUAAAAAAUGAUAAAAGGAUAAGAAGCAAAUAAACCCGCCUUCCUAGGUUUGGCUCCCUCCUUUGAGGAUCCAAUUCGCACAAGUAUUAUGGCCAAAUUCUGCAAUUCGCGCGCAACACUAUAUGUACAACUGUCAAAGAUUUUCUUUUGCCCCUUUCUAUUUUUAAUACACAACCUUAAAAUGAUGGGCCCGCCCCUCCAUGACAUGAGAUUUUGCUGCUUGCAAUUGUAAUGAUCUUCCCGGGCAAAACUAAGAGGCAGAUAAAAAACGCACACUUCCCAAAUUAAAGAACACUGAUAUACUCUUUAAUUUCCCCUUCAUUUUAUGACAAGUGUGCUCCAAUGGUCCGAAAGUUAUAAGACAACUACGUUUUAAGUGGAUGGUUUCCAGCUAUGAAAAGAAUUGGCUAUGGUUUUAAGGCAGCCAGAGAUCACCAAUGGCUGAGAUGCUAUGCAUGUUGCUAUCUUCUAUAUAUUUGUUGGAAGUGAAGCAUUUCCACUUAUGAUUCACUCGGUCAUUGCAUCCAUCCUACUGUACAUUCUAUAUCUAUGUUUGGACUGGAAGGUCCCAGGAAUCGUUGUGCUGCAAUGACGCAAAGAACUCCGUCAGUUUUCUUCUGAUAGUAUACAAAGUUCUGUGGUUUCACCACUCCGCCAAUGAGAAUGUCGACUCGAGGGCCGUGGGAUGAUACCGGCGGUAAAGAAAUCGCAGUCUACUCCAGCUGCUCUGUGCAACUCUGCCGUGUGCUGGCUAGUUGCACAUUUUGUUACUGCGCUGCAUAAUUUCUUUUUACUCGAAUUAAUUAACAAGAUUCACUGUACAUACUCGAAGUGAGAACUGCUCCCUCCAUUUCAUAUUAUAAGUCAUGUUUGACUUUUUUUUCUAGUUAUGUUUUUUAUAAUUAUAGAAAAAUAUAGUAGUAUUAUCAACAUAAAACAAACGAUCUAUUAAAAUAUAUUUAAUGUGAGAUUUAAUGAAACUAGUUUAAUAUUUUAGAUGUGACUAAAUUUUUCUAUAAACUUACUUACACUUAACAAAGUUUGACUAGGGAAAAAGUCAAACGACUUAUAAUAUGAAACGAAGGAAGCAAAGAUUUUUUUUUUAAAUUAGAGAAGGGGUUUUUUUUUUACUUGGCAUGUACAUCCAACCGGACAUAUGCAGCCAUUUAAGCUGGGAACUUAGCCCCUUCGUUCAUAUAUAGAUUUGAACUCAGGACCUUAUUAUAAUACUCAUGUUAUUCAACCACUCGAAAUUAAUUUAUAUGUAAGUAUAUAUUGCACUAUAUCCGUGCCUGUUUGGAGCAACGAACUAGCUAAUUAAGAAACAGACUAAAAAGUGUAGUAUAUAUAUAUAUAUAUAUGUUGGGAAGGUUGUGCAUACUUGCACGAUGUUUAUAUUAGAUUUGCGCCAUGGAAGCCUAUUCUUUGUACACAGGAUGAUAGCACAGUUUGAUAUUUCAUUGGAAUCUUAAUUUGACCAAACAAACGGUUGAUCUCCA
rnacentral:lncRNA from 1 species